UUUUUUUUUUUUUUGGUGAAAGGAAACGACCUCAUUUAUUGAUAUCCAAAGAGACAAAAGCUCAUAGUACAAGAGUGUUAUACAACGAGACAAUUCUCGAGCCUUGUUUUGUUAGUUAAGAAGUUGGGGAAUGACAUUUUUGCAUGGAUUAUAGGACACUAAAUCAAGUAAGGAUUGAUGAUAAGUUCUCCAUUUGAGAUAUUGAAGAACUCCUCAGUAAAUUAAAGAUGCUUUCUCUAGGCUUUUCACCUCUCCAAUUGCAAGGAUGCUACUAUUUCACAUUGCUGGAAACUAGAUCGUGAGUCUUGCGACCUAUGCAUCCACAAGGCCCUUGGUUGCAAAUUCUUGGAAAUGGAACCUAGACACAUGGAGGGUUUUACUACCAAAUCGCUAUGCCAAUAUCUAGGCAUGACCACAAAUUUUUACUACUCAUGAAAAAUUUUUGGUCAUGCCUUUUGGGUUAACGAACGCAUUGGUGACUUUCCAAUCUUUGAUAAAUAAGUUCUUUAAUUGGAACAUCAAACUUUGUCUCUAAAGAUUCAACAUAGUGUGUUGAGGUGGUGCAAAAGGAAGUACAACCUUUUGCUGAUGCUGUUAUUUUGAAAGAAUUUUUCGUUCCUCUUCUGGGUUUGGACUUUUGGCAAGAUAACUUUGAGAUCACCGGUUGCAUCUUUUUGCUAGUCUCUAGAUCCGAAUGGUUUCCUUUUGAGAGAGUUAUUUCGUUAUGCUUUGUAUUUAGAUCUCUUCGUUUUGGUUCUGUUUUAACUUCAUUUACUCUGUUGGAUUUCGCCUUUUUAGCUUGUUCUUUGCAUUUGUUUGUUUUGGUCGUUUCCCCUUGUAUUUGCCGAGAUCAUCUUUGGGCAGCUUGUUUGGAUAUUUUUGUCUUUUCUUAUUUUGUUCUUAGUAUAAUUCUCUUGUACAUUGAGCAUUAGUCUCAUUUUCCUUUAUUAAUAAAGAGGCUUGUCUCUGUUUUAGAAAUAAAGAUAAAUAAGUUCUUUAAGCCUUUCAUGAGGCGGCUCAUUCAUGUAUUUUUUUUUAUCGCAUAUUGGUGUGUUUCUCAGUAGUAGUAGUAGUAGUAGUUCUAAUUGUUGUUUUUCUUUUGAAUAAAAAACGACAACUUUCAUUGAGAAAAAAAAUGAAAGAAUACACGAUAGCACAAAAAGACAAGCCCACAAAAAUAGGACAACUCUAUCUACAAGAGGGGACUCCACUCAUGAGAAAUAUUGCUCCUAGAAUAAUUACAAUAGGUCUUCAAAAUUAAAACCGACUGAGAGACUUGGAAACAAUCAAGGGAACAAAAUUUCUUAGGGUCUUUCCACUCCCCUAAAAUCCAUUCUGCUCACCCCACAAGACCCAUAGGUUGCAAACAUUUCUACUAUCCACAAAGAGAACACAUUCUCCCUUAAAGGCAGAUUGAGGAGGAACUUCUCGAUCAUAUCACUAGUACCUAAUGAGCACACAUCAUCCCAAAUGUCUUCCUUCGCCUUUCGACAAAUCAGUGUCGGAGAACAUGGUCCAAGUCUUCCUUCGCCUUUCGACAAACAAUACAACAGAAGGGCCGACAAGCAAAGGCAUCUUCCUCGUAAGCUGACCCAAUGUGUUAGCACAACCAUACAGAACUUGUCAAGUAAAGAACCUCACCUUUUUAGGGAUCUUAAUCCUCCAAAUCACUGAGAAGAUAGGCACACCUAAGGGGGAAGGUCGACCAGAAAUUGAAAGAAAGACUUGCAUGAGAAAUGUUCCAAUGGAUUGAGGCUCUAGACUCUAACAUCCUUUCUCCCUCUUUUAAAGGGGUGGGCCUCGAGUAAAGAAAGAAAAGCAGACACCUCCUUAGCUUCCCUAUUGGAAAGAGAGUGACAGAACCCAAAAGAAAUGAAAUAGAACCCACAGACCACACAAAGAAGUCUUCAAUUAGAUGAUUUUUAAGAGAUGAAAAAUGGUACAAGUGUUGAAACAGAGUGCAAAUUGUGUGUUGCUUAGAUAUAUUACACAUGAAGUCGCUUGUGAGUGGUUGACAAUGUCCUGUCUGAUUGCAAAGUUAUUUGCAAAAUAUUAGAAAUGCAUUUUCUGUCAAUCUAGAACAUAAUAUCUUAGGCCAAUGGGUAUCAAGCCAGGGGGUUGAAGCUGAUAACAACAAGAUUAAGAUGAUAAUGGAGUGGACAUGUCCCAAGAAUGUAAUUGAACUUAGAGGAUUUCUUGGGCUCCCUUAACUCGCCUAUUGCACAAGGUUGCUUUUGUGUAGAAUGAUGAUUCAAUUCAAGCUUUUGAAGAAUUGAAACGAGCUACGAUGACAAUUCCAAUGUUAGCUCUCUCUUGUUUUUCCCUUUCUUUAUUAUAGAAAUCGAUGCUUUAGAAGUUGGGUUGGUAGCUGUGUUGACUCAAGAAUCCAAGCGAAUUGUGUAUUUUAGUCUAACUUUGUCUUCAAGGGAUCAAGCUAAAUCAAUUUAUGAUGGGGAAAGCUCAUGGCUAUGGUAUUUGGCCAUUAAGAAAUGGAGACAUUACAUGGAAAGAAACCAAAACGGUUCACUUCAUGUUUCCCGUUCUUAAAUGGAGAAAUUACCUUCUAGGCAACAAAUUCAUCGUGAUUUCUGAUCAAUAGGCUUUGAAAAUUUAUUUGAACAGUCAAAGGUACAACCUCAAUUUCAGAGAUGGUUGACCAAGCUACAUGGUUAUAAUCUCAAAAUACGAUACUAGUCGGGACUACAAAACAAAGCCAUAUACACUUCGUUUCAAUUGCCACCAGCAAUUUUUUACACUUUAACAAACACAACUUUGUUAGAUGUAGAAGUGGUGCUCAAGAAGGUUGAGAGUGACGAAGGUUUGCAAAAGAUGAUUCAUACGUUGAAAAAAGACCCAAAUAACAAGCCCAAGUUUCAUCUACAGCAGGCAAGGUUGAUGUACAAUGACCGAUUAGUAUUAUUGUCUCAUUCAUCAACACUUAUUCCAACAUUAUUCCACACUUUCCGACAUUACUCCACACUUCCCAUGAUUUCAUCUUGGGAGGACGCUUAGGGUUUCUAUGAAUGUAUAAAAGGUAACAUGGGAGGUAUAUUGGGCUGGAAUGUUAACAGAUGUGAAAAAAGUAUGUUGAUAUUUGUAUUAUUUGUGAAUGAAGCAAAACAGAGUCCCUAUGUCUAGGGUGUUUGUCGCAAUCACUUCCCAAACUAAAUUUCGGAGUAACUUUCCAUGGAUUUUAUUGAAGGACAACCAAAAUUGGCUGGCUGUGAUUUGAUUAUGGUAGUAGUCUAUUGACUUAGUAAGUAUGCUCAUUUCACGUUACUCAGUCAUCCUUAUUCCAUCACCCUCAUUGGGCCAAACAAGUAAAGGUGGUUCAUCUUCAUGGGAUACCCAAGCAUAUAGUUUCAGAUAGAGACAAAAUCUUCCAGAGUAAUUUUUGGAAGGAAUUGUUUGCUAUGCAUGGUAGUGUUAAAGGGGAGAACAAUCUUCCACCCUCAAAUCGAUGGCAAAGAGAGAGGGUGAAUAGAUGCUUAGAAAUAUAUUUACAUUGUUUCUGGAAUGAACAACCCAAAAUGUGGAGCGGAUACCGGGCUGAAUUCUGGUGCAGUACUACCUUCUACAGUUCACGAACAUCUACCUGAGUUGACUGAAGAAUUUGAGUUGCAAGUAACACUUCAGUUGAUUCUAGGAAUUUUUUGGAAUGGGGAGUUGGCUACGAAUGAACGGGUGAUCAAGUGGAAGAGCUUAUGUGACAAUGAAGCUACAUGGGAACCGAUACAUUUAAUGAACCAACAAUUUCCUUCUUUUUAAGGUGAUCUUUUGGGGGGGAGGGGGUAUUGUGAGACCCUUGAUCUUUUAUACGUUGGUAGAAGGGGCAGUAAAGGAGCACUGGGGACAGAGGGUACGGGGGACAUAAGCUAAGCUGUGUGGUUAGCAGUGGGGACCAAGGGAGGCUGUUAUAACGGAAUGUUUUCUAGUCUGUGUGGGGGAGAAUUUCGGUUGAGGAUGAGAGGAGUUGGAGAGGACUUCUAGCUCUCUUGAAUGUGUUGGAGUCUUUCGGGUCUUUUAACUUACUUUUCAUUGUUGAUUGUUAAGAUUCUGUUCGUUUGUCUAGUGCUGUUUGAAUAAUAUCGAAUGCAAUAUAUCAUAUAUUAGAGCUGUUGUUUCUUUGUCAGCUUGCAUAUUGUUGGAAUUUACUGCAUGCAGUGAAGUAGAUACCUAAUAAAAUACAAAGUUACACAAUUACAAAAAAGAACUCCAAUUUGAAAGAACGAGGGGCUAGGGGUAACCAUUUAGUCUUUAGUAACCAAGACCCAAAGGUUAGGUCGUUUGAAGCCAUGUGAAAUAACGCUCCUGCUUGGUGUUUACAGGCUUUUCCAUUCAAGAUUUAUGUUUAAAUUGGAAUUUCUUUAUUUUUCCUGCAUAGUUCAUAUGUCAUGUAUAAUUUGUUUGUUUUAUAUUUUUUAAAAUUUUUGUUUGUUGAUUAGUCUCCUACCUAUGUUAUAGUAGACUGGCCUUUGUUGCUUGAUGUAUGUCUUUUUACUAUAGUUUGGAUAUGAUGAAGGUGAUAUGGGGGUGUCAUCCUAGAUGAGAUGCUCGGGUGCACCUCCUGAUCCUAACACAAUCUUGUAUUUUGAGACUUUGUCUGUUUUCAUUAAUUCAAUAAAAGGUGUGUUUCCCUUUUUAAAAAAAAAUCUGUCCCAAUUUACCAAGGUGCUCUACCCACUUGCGCACACAUAAAUGUGAUGGCUCAUUUUAUUCUUGAGAUGUUUAAAUAGUUAUUUUGGCAGGCUUAUCAAGAUUCAACAAAAGAGAAACGCCGAGCGCAAAUUGCACAAGGUUUUGAACUUUAUCUAUUUUUCAUUUGCUCAUCUUUUGUAUGAUCUUAAUUUCUUAUCAUGGUUGAGAAUUCAAUAUUCUCACCUUUUUUUUGUAUGAAAACGACUUUCAUUAAAAAAAAUGAAAGAAAGCAUGGGCAUGUUUGUCUCAUAUAUAUAUAUAUAUAUAUAUGUAUCUAGAAGAAGUUGAAUGGGAAAUAACUCACUUAAACUGAAACUUCAUUGAACUACUUUAAAGCAUAGAAGAAUGUUGACAUCGUCUGGUGGUUUUAAACAUUGUAACCUAUUGUUGGUCUUUUUCGUAAGAUUAAUUGGGAUUGCCCCCCUCAAGUUUUUAGUAUUUUUCAAAUAAUAAUGUGCCACUUAUUUCUUUAGUAGAUUUUAAAGAUGCUAGCCGUUUUUGUAACCUUUCGUCUUCUUCUUUAGGAUAGGUUUUUCGUCAAGGACUCAAUCAAAGUUUCAUUUUUAAGACAUGAGAAGAUCUAAGGAACAGGUCCCUUAUUUUAUAUCAGAAAAAAAUGGGUAAAAUUUGGAUAUGUUUAUCUAUUUUAAAUUAUUGUAUGUUUCUUGAGUUUUUAAUGAAAUUUUAGGUUGCUUUUACAUGUGUAUCUGUGUUACUGUUGCUGACUGUGUGUUGGCUACGUUCCAAUUUGUAUUUUACAGCCCUUGCAGCUGAAGUUACCGUGGUUGCACCUUCUCGUUUAAUGGCUCUGAUUGGUCAGGCUUUAAAAUGGCAACAACACCAAGGUAAUUUGAUGUUGUGUUACACUUUACACCUCAACUAUCAUUUUUCCAUAUUGCGGGAUCAUUGGGUGAGCAGAUAAUAGAGUGUUUAGAGAGUUGAGGACGAUACUGGGUCCUGUGUUAAAUGUCUUGCUUCUCUUAGGGAUUUGAUUUCGAUGAUCUUUUAUAAUUAUAUGUUAGGUGCCCUUUUAUAUAGUUGUCCUCCGAUAUGGCUUCCGUUUGUGGGCUUUGGUUAUUUAUCUUUCUAUUUAUUUAUUGUUGUUAUUUCUUUUUCCAUCCACCUGUGUAUUUUUUUUAAUUUUUUUCAAUGAAGUUUGUUCUAAAAAAAUAAUUUUGUCAGAUCUCAUUUAUCAAAACAUGUUGAUGUAGGCUAAAAGAAAAAAAAAAAGGAAAACUUUCUCCAAAGUCUUCAUUAUCAAUUUUUUUUGUCUAUACAAGAAGAGAAUUUCUUUAUUUAUAGAGAAUUGAAAGGCAAACUAAUCCUAAUUCUAGCGAUAUGAUGUUGCUUGGGAAAUACAAGGGCGAAGACAAAAUGUCGCAAACAGCACUACUUUGGACCACAACUUCUUUUUCCACUUCACCAAAUGAUGCAAAUAGGGUUCUAGGUUUAAGGUUUAGGGUCUGGACCACAACUUCAUCAUCUCAUCUUGUUUUUUGCUCUUUUACAAUUGAUUUUCCUUUUUGCCGCUCACAACGUCUUUCUCACUCAAGUCCUAGAUCUCCACGUGUUUGCUUACCAUUCAUUGACACUCAGCUUUGAAUCUUUAGAUUUUCUGUUUCAUUUGUUGCUUGCACAGUGUCAGCCUUGUCUGGGCUCUUAAAAUUUCAGAGUGUUACUCUUAGUAUUUGCAAUUCUAUCCUUUCAAGUUUCCUUGACACCUAAAUGUUACAGAGUUAGACGGGUUGUCACGUAAGCUAGCCAGGACACUCAUGAAUAUUAAAAAAAGAAGGAACCAACACAUCUUUUGCAACCAAUUCUUUUUUUUUAAAAAAGGAGACGGUCUCUUUAUUAUCAAAACAAACUCAAAGUACAAGAGACAUAUACUAAGAGUACAAAUAAAAGAAAAUUUCAAGGUAUUCUUUAGAGUACAAGAGACAUAUACUAAGACCUUCUGCCUUCAUUGUGGAUUGUCAUUUGUAAGCGAGACACGAAUUAUAGUUCGGUUUUAUGUGUGCUUCUCUUGAAACUUAACAGAAUAUGCUCCAGAAGAUUUAGACCUCAGGAGAGCUGUCUAGUCGUUGUUAAAUGAGGUUUUCAUCUGAAUAAAGUGCUUCAAAGGGAUCUUCGUUUGGAUUUGGUGAAACGGAUAUUUGAUGAUGAACUUCGGCAGUCUUCACUAUCGCUUGGUGGAUUCUGAUGCUCUGCGUCUGGAAUAAUGGGAGAAGCAAACUCUUUUGCAUUGCUUGGGGAAGAGGAACCAAAAACGCCAGAUGGCAUGGCGCCAUUAAUUUCAGAUGGUAAAACGUAUUCCUUGUCUGAAUUGCUGCUGGGUGUCUGAAUUGAUCGAUUGGGUUUUUGAAGUUUUUAACAACCAACGGUGAUGCUUGGGGAAUCCAUGGGCUCAAUGUUGCAAAAGUUCAAAAAAGUAUUUCCCCGGUUAAAGUUUGUAAUUUCGAUAGUGGUAGGCAUGAAAUCACAUAAAUUGUGUUUGACCUGAAUUCACGCCUCACUGUAGUUUAUGAGGUUGAGUGAUUCUAUGGCUAUAUCUUCCAUUCCCUCAAAGUGAUCUUCAAUUACUUCAAAAGUUUUCAUGUACCAGGAAUCCAAUGGCAAUUGUUGAAUUCUCAAUCAACCACCGAAUCCUUUUACCACCAGAGGUCUGCUAUGGUUGAAUUUGUCCCACUUUUCGAACUUGAGAUGGAAAGGACCCAUCGCCGCCAUCAUCUUGCUUCGAUGAUAAAAUCCUCAAUUGCACCUUGAUCAACAGUAAUGAGAGCAUUUUCAUCAGAGGAUUAAUAAUGAUGCUUGUUCCAAAAUAUGUUUCCAGCAUUUUCCUUAUCUCCCUUCAAUCAGCAAAGGCAAAACGUCUCGUGACAAUCCAAAGGUGGUCGAAUUUUGCCCGAUGACUUUUGUAUUCUUUAUCACCUAUUAGCUCUGUUUUGCUGCCUUCAAAACAGAGGAGUCUUGAAAUCUGUUUUCUUCAGCUUUGGAAUCAGUCUGACGUUCAACAAAGUUGGCCCCCUGCUUUCCUUUCUUUUGAUUUCGUGGUAUGUCUCCUCCCAAUCACACUGUCAGCAUAGCUUAAACUCUUACUCUCUGUUGGAGUUUUAGGCGUGGGGCUUUAUUUGCAAACUAUCUUAUACAAUCAGCCCUGAUCAAGGUGCUCUUCAACAUUUUAUGGAAAUCUGACCAGCCCUUCAUGUCCAACCCCUGAACACACUAGAAUGUUGGAGUGACCACCUGACAAUGGCCAAAUAUCACAGCUUAGCACCCAUCCAUCUUUAAUCCUGAUUUUUGGCACUUUCAAUCUUCCUCGAUUCAGCUCCCUAAAAUUCUGAAAGAAACCAUCUUCCAGACCUUGUAGGAGGGCCGUUACAUGUCCCAGUUCAAUUGUGCCUCAGUAACUGACAACCUUGUUUGAGCUUCCACAUCUUCUACUUGGAACUUGUCAUCUUCGAACAAAAUAUAGUAGUGCGUUUGGAGGACUUGGUAGCUUGUUACUUCUAUUGCUUAUAUGCCUUUGCUUGGUGAAACGCUAGAGAAAUGAACGGAAGGCAGGAGCUGGUGAUGCCAAUCUUAUGUUUUGGAGGUUGUUGAAGAGGAGAGAGAAGCAAAAGGACGGAGAGGGAGGAAAGAGAAGAGGACUUACCUGAGGACUCGGUUAUCAAUUUUUGUCCUAAAAUUGAAGAUACCAACCAUUUUUCGCGACUAGUUCACUUCCUUGGUUUGAUUGUUGUGAGAUUGAGCUUCUUAAUGGUGUUCUUUUUCCAGAUUAUUUGUUGGUUACUCUAUUCAAGACAUUAGUUAUCUUAUAGUCAAAGCUUCUUCAUGGCGUUCUCCUUCCAAAUUUUUUGUUGAUUACUUUAUUCAAGAUGUUAGUUUGAAUGGGAACACACUAAUAUCUUUUUUAGCUUUGUUUUUUCUUUUUGGCUUGCUCUUGUCUUGUUCUAGUUAUGUUCAAGUAAUUUGCAUUUCCUGCUAAGUUUUUAUUUGUCUCAUAUACUUUGAGCAUUAGACUCAUUUAGUUAUUUCAACGUGAAGUUUUAAUUUCGUUUUAAAAGAAUUUAAAAAAUAAUAUCGAUGUGCGAUCACUAGUACUGGAGUACAUAUUGUGUAAAGUGGAAACUAAUAUCCUUUUCCCAUUAAUGUGACUAAUACAUUGGAUGAUGACUGUUAAAUUUAUUGUAUAAAUGUUUCAUAUGGUCACUGUGACGAUCAGUGAUUUAUUCUUUUUUCAGGUUUACUUCCUCCAGGAACGCAGUUUGACUUAUUUCGUGGAACUGCUGCCAUGAAACAAGAUGUGGAGGAUGUUUAUCCAACAACUCUUUCUCACACAAUUAAGGUGAGUUGAGCUAAUCCAUUGCUUUUUUGAAUAUUCCACCAUGCAUGAUUUUUUUAUUUAUUGAUUAGUAUUAUUACUAUUUUUAAGACAUGUUUUUUUGUGGUAAACGCUAUUUACCAUCAUUUUCUAGAAGAGACCGAGGAUAGUCAAUGACAUGCAGUUGGAUAGAAAACUAAUUUUUCUGUUCAAGAUAUUUGUCUGAAUUGGAGUGCAUUUAUCUUUUCAGUCUAGACAUUUAUUUCUCUUGUAUUCUUUGUUUCAUGUACUACUGUAUCUUGAGCUUUUGUUCUUUCAUUAUAUCAAUGAAAUAUGUUGUUUCCUUUCGAAAAGAAAAAGAACCUAAAGGCUCUAGAGACUCACAUAAGAAAACCAAAAAUGUUUAUUUUUUCUUCUCAUUUGCCCAUUCAUAAGGAUGAUUGUUGCAGUAUUGUUAUAAUAUUAACACAUAAAUUCUUAUAGCUUCCUCAAGCCCACACGAAUUCGACUUUCUCAUGAUUUUUGGUUCUUUUGGACGUUUCGGUUUGCAUAAAUAAAACGGAUACCAGAAUGAGCAUAGCUCAUUAUUAUUAUACCUUAUUAUGGGGUGUCAAUCUAGUUGAGAUGCCCAGGUGCACCUCCUCAUCUAUGGUUACAUGCUCAUGGUAUGAUUCUCUUGUACUAUGAGGUUUUAUCUCAUUAUUAUUAGAUUAAUAUUAAUAAAGAGGCUGUCUCCUUUAUGAAAAAAAAAGAGAAUGAGCAUAGCUCAACUGACAUGAUUAAGUAUGUAUGAUAACUUUGAAGUUAGAGGUUCAAUUUUCGUUUCAGGAACAUUUGGUAACAUUGGAAGUUAGAUGUUUAAUUCCUCAUCCACUUAUUGUGAAAAAAAAAAAAAGAAAUAGGAAAGAAAGGGAGGAAAAAGAUGAUGUAAAGAAGUGCAGAAGGAGAGAAGUCAUCUCUUGGUUUUAAGUUUUCUUUCAUGUGUGUGAGGAUUUUGUUUGUUCCCUCCAAAUCGAUUUUCCCUUGCUGGUUUGAAGAAGUUGUUACUGUUUUAGAACUCAACACAUUGCUGCUACUGUCUACAAGUCUUGAAGAUGCUUUGGAUAUUCUUAAGUUAUGAAUUCUUUGGCUGAAUGAUGAUAUGGUCUUUAGAGUUAUAGUUGUCUAAGCCUUGUUUGCUGUAACUGGUCCUCUCUUAUUGAUGGUGUUUCUCCCUUUCAGGACUUUUGGUCAUUGCUUUAAGGUUUUAUAGGUUGAUAGCUCUUUUUAGAUGCAAUCAAAUAAUUUUUUUUUGCAGUAGCGAAGUAGAUGAUGGCAAGUGUAUGCAAAAUCUGAAAUUUAGACAAUUCAAGUUCGUAUAGUUUUCUAGUUUGGUAGUUUACUUCUUUAACGUUUUUUAGGCUCGUUAUGCUGUAUUCUCUAACAAAAGAUAUAGGAAGACUUGGAUCAUAUUCUUUUUUUGGAAAGGAAACGAAUCUCAUUUAUUAUAAAAAGCGAGGCAGAGCUCAAAGUACAAGAUGGUUAUACAAUGAGCAAUUAAAGAACAUGGAUCAUGUUCUAUUGAGGUGUGAGUUUACGAGAUUUGUUUGGAGCUGUUUUUUCUUCUUCAAGCUUUUGGGUCAAGUUUGCUCAUCAUAGCAUUUUUAGUGAUGUGUUCAGGGAGUUCCUCAUCAAUAAGCCUUUUUUUAUGAGGGUGGAUUCUUAUGUUUGCGGGGCAUGCACUAUUUAUUGGAAUCUUUGGGGUGGGAGGAAUGGUAGAACGUAAAGUGGGAGCCUUUGGAUAUUUGGUCUCUCAUUAGAUUUUGUGAUUAUCUUCAUGCUUCCAUUUCAAUUUUCAAAGAGCUUUUGUAAUUUAAGUUUAUAUUUUUCACAAUUGUAGAAGGGUUUUCUUUUUAUUUUAUUUUUCCAGAGGUUUUAUGCUUCUGUUAAAUCAUUUAUUUAUUCAAAAGCUUAAGUUGAUGGGCUGUGGUAAAUAUUCAAAUAUUCACACGCAUGCUCAGAUUUCUUCAAAUAUGUUUUGGAACAAGCAUCAUUAUUAAUCCUAUAAUUCAAAAUAAAUCUCUCCCUGAUUAACUCGUUUGACACUUAUAAAGGUUGGCUUUUAAGGAAGGCCAAAAGCCAAAAAGUCUCACGCACGCUCAGACUUCUUCAAUUUGUCGGUAGCCUCCUUCAGCGCCUUUAGAGCCUUUCGUCCCCUCCCGAUCCUUUCUAUGUAUUUCUUUUCAUUUUAUCAAUGAAAAUUUAUGUUUCCAUUUGAAAAGAAAGAUAUUUAUGAGUGGAGACUUGUACUUCUGAGUCUCAGUUUUUUUUUAAUUCUUAAAUUGUAUGUACGUACGCAUGUUCUUGUUUCUCAUUUCUCGUUUAGAGAAAGAAUAGUAAGAUGUUUAUGAUAGACCCCCAAUUAUACACCAAUACAGUAGAAGGAAAAAGAAGAAGGUUAACCGCACGUGCUAGGAGAAUAGCCUUAGUUUUAAUAUUGUUAGUAGAUGCUCCAUAAUAAAAUAAUAGAGCAUAAGUAGGAGUUUGUUAUGGAGAGAGAAAGUUAGUUAGAGUAUAAAUAGGAGUUGGGUAUGGAAUAUAAAUAGGAGUCUGUUGGGAGGGAGAAGGGUGAAGAAUUAAGGCUGCAAUAUUCCUUGAAAGAGAGGAAGGGCAAGGGGUUAGGGUUCUUUAUAUUUUCUUUUACUGCUUUGAGAUUGUAAUUCCGUUGCAAAUAUCAAUAAAUAGAAACACUAUAUCAGUGUUCUAUCAGUUUAUUUGGUCUUUCCUGGCAUUCUUCACUUCUUUCUGGAUUAGGAUCAAUUUACUAAUGGUUCAAGGUAAUUUUAAUGCAGUUUGGUACAAAAAGUCAUGCGGAAUGUGCUCGAUUCUCACCAGAUGGGCAGUUUCUUGUUUCUUGCUCCGUAGAUGGAUUCAUUGAGGUAUCUAUACAGAUGUAUGGGAUGCUAGAGAAUUUUUCUCGUAGCUUCUUUAACUUCUAUUUGCAUACAGGUCUGGGAUUAUAUAAGUGGGAAACUCAAGAAGGAUCUUCAGUACCAGGCUGAUGUAAGUAUGCUUUCUGUCCUUUGUUGCAUGCUAUUUAUUUUCCAUAAUUAAGUCCACUUCAUUUUGGUAUAUUGUAAAGCAUUGUCUUUACAUGUUCUUAUAUUAGUUUCUUGUCAGUUGCUUUUUUUGAUAUGCAAGUGGAAUUGCAGGAAACUUUUAUGAUGCAUGAUGAUCCGGUCCUUUGUGUUGAUUUUAGUAGAGACUCAGAGAUGAUUGCUUCUGGUUCACAAGAUGGAAAAAUCAAAGUGAGUUCUGAGUUCAUCUUCUUCAAUCACUUCUGUAAUGUAAUCAUUCUUGUAUUAGGAUAUCAGUCUGUAAUCUCUUAUUUGAUAAUGUUUUUUGCUUCAUUAUCCGUCUUAAUCAGUCAUUUAACUGUGUUGCUAGAAUAAAUACUCUCCAUACAACUCUGUAGAUGCUUGUGGCCUAAUUUUCUAAAUAGCAGAUAUUGUCAAAUAUUAUAUUUAUGAGAAUAUAUAAUUGGUUCAAUAUUGUGUUAUUUCAAUCAAUUCGAUGCCAUAUUUUUUGUCAUGAUAUAGGUAUGGCGUAUCAGAACUGGCCAAUGCUUGCGACGUCUUGAACGUGCGCAUUCUCAGGGAGUUACAAGUGUUGUUUUCUCUCGUGACGGAACCCAGUUGCUGAGUACAUCUUUUGACACCACAGCGAGGUUGGUUCAAGAUCUUGAUUGUUGCUAUGAGAACAUUUUCUAUGUUGCUUAAGUGGAUAUCAUUAUAUGUGGUAUAUGUCAAUGGCAAUUAUAGUAUUAUGUGAUUUAGUUUAUCGGGGUUUUCUUAAGGAAUUUCAUUUUUACUUUCUUUCUCCAAAUUAAUUCUUGAAUGGUUCAGGCUUCUCCCCCUUUUUUAAAUGGUAUUACUGAUAGGUUUUAUAUUUGGUAUAGAAUCCAUGGUCUAAAGUCUGGUAAGCUGUUGAAGGAAUUCCGUGGCCAUUCAUCAUACGUGAAUGAUGCAGUCUUUACUAAUGAUGGAGCACGUGUCAUUACCGCAUCUAGUGAUUGCACGGUUAAGGUUGAUCGUUAUUUUGAUGCAUUCUAUGAAUGACAGAAUGUGCAAUGUAGUUGGCAGGCUGGGGAUUUAUUUACUCGUCCCAAGUAACAUACUAAAUUUAUUGUUCAUUGUAGGUUUGGGAUGUGAAGACAACCGAUUGUCUGCAUACAUUCAAGCCACCACCUCCAUUAAGGGUUUGCGAUAGUGCAUUUAUAUUGAUGAGAGAAAUUAACUUUUUUGAACUUCGAGUUUCCUUGGUUGCUUGCAAUCUUAGUGUUGCUCACCUUUGUUCUUCACUUUUGGGAAUGCUAGGGAGGAGAUGCCUCGGUGAAUUCAGUUCAUAUCUUCCCCAAAAAUGCAGAUCAUAUUGUUGUUUGUAACAAGACAUCGUCAAUAUACAUCAUGACAUUGCAAGGGCAGGUAACAUUGGUUAAUUGCUAAGCUGGGAGUGGGAUCAUUUUCUUCCCUCAAUUUUCUAUCCCAGAUCAGUGACUCAUUUUUUUUGUUCGGAAAGGAAAUGGAACUUUUCGUUGAUAUGAUGAAAAGAGUCUCUAAUGCUAAAAGAUACAAUGAAAUAAAGUAGAAGUAAGAAAAAGAAAAAAUAGAGCAUUAAAGAAUGUAACAGCAUGAUGCAUAUCCAAAGAUCAAACAGGAAAAGAAAAGCUCCCCAUCUUGGACAAAUAUCUUGAAUGAAAAAAUUCAUAAAAGACUUAGAUACAGAACACAAUUGGAAACUAUUAAAAAUUAGACGGGUAGAAGGGUAGGACUCCUUAAGACAAUCUAAGGGAGUUUGAAGGUGGAGGACACGAAAAGACAUUCUAUUGAUUAAAUAAGCUAUUGUAAGAAUGACAUCUCCCCGUGGGUAUGAAGGGAAGUAGAUAGCAUAAGAGAAUGAGCUACUUUCAGAAAAUGACGUUUUUUUGCUUAGCCACCUCAUUUUGUUGAGGAGUGUAGGCAUAUGAGCUUUAGUGAACAAUCUCCUUGGAGGCUAGGAACCCACUAAGAUUAUGGUUUUGAAAUUUCUGCCUAUUAUCACGCAGAAGAAUUGCAAAUUUUUUAUUGAAUUGUGUUUCAGUGGUAUGAUAGAAGUUUUGAAAAACAGAGGAAACCUAAGAUUUAUCUUGAUAAGGAAUCUCAGGUAAGAUGGGUAUGAUCAUCAAUAAAAGUUUUAAACUACCGUUGUCCAGAUGAGGUGGUGGCCUUGGAACGUCACUAUGGAUAAGGGUAAAUGGUUGUGUGGGUUUAUAUGGUUAUGAGGGAAAUGAGACUCAAUGUUGUUUUACCUGAAUACACACAUCAUUGAUCAGUUGCUUAUGUAGCAGAAGUAGUAGAAGAAAAUGGAAGAAUUCAUCUUUUUGCUUAGCCAUCCAUCAGUUGCUUAUUAAAAAUGAUGGAAAGGAAGAAGGGGGGUGGAAAAUGAUAUAAAAGAAAAUUGGUCGGAAAUCAGAAUGGAAGAAGAGAUGUUAUGUUCUCUUUUUACUUUUAAAUUUCUUAGAAGAGAGUUGAAGGCUUGGCGGCUGCUGGAAUUAAAGUAAUGUUGGCUGCAUUUGAAGGCUUGGCGGCUGCUGGAAUUAAAGUAAUGUUGGCUGCAUGCCAAGCGAACUGCCAAAUGGCAAAAUUUCUGCCCCAUUACUCAAAGAACUAUUUUUUACCCACCUAAAAAGCAUUUCUGUUUCUAUUGCUUCUGUCAACUAUUUUAUUAGUUUAUUUUUCUUAAUAGUUUUGUUUAUAUUUUAACAUUUUAAAAUUUUAAGUAUUUCUUUAAUCCAUAAUUGUAAAAAAAAAAUAAUUAAUUAUUUUAUUAGGUGUGCAUUGCUUCAAUCGGGCACUUUUUUUGUCACCUCUCGCCUUAAGUCGAUUAAAUAGCUUGUUGCCUUAAAGUGCCCCUUGCGCUUUGAAAACACUGUACUUGAAGAAUCUGGAAGAUUAGCUGAAAUAUUGUUGUUUUGACACAGAGACGAACUUUUUUAUUGAUAAAGGAAAAUUAGACUAAUGCUCAAAGUACAAGAGAAUUAUACAAAGAGCAAAAAAAAAAGAAAAAAAGACAAAAACAUCAAAACAAACUGCCCAAAAAUGAUCUUUGGGAAAACGACCAAAACAAACAAAGAGACUAUAGUUGAUUUCAAAGAACAAGCUAAAAAGGCAAAAACCAAAAGAAAAGAUGAAGUUAAAACAGAACCAAAAUGAAGAGAUCUAAAUACAAAGCAUAACAAAAUAACUUUCUCAAAAGGAAACCAUUUGGAUCUAAAGACUAGCAAAAAGAUGCAAGUGGAGAUCUCAAAGCUAUCUUGCCGAAGUAGUCCAAACCCAGAAGAGGAACAAAAAAAUCUUUCAAAAUAUCAGCAUCAACAAAAGGUUGUACUUCCUAUACAACACCUCAACCCACCAUGUUGAAUCUUCAAAUUGAUGUUCCAAUUGAAAACUCAUCCCCCAUGCAUGUAGAAGUACUAAAGAUAUUCACCAAAAUAUUUCUCUGGUAAGCCACUUCAAUAGAUUCCAGCACCUUUGUCAACCAUAACUUGAUUCACGAUGAACAAGAUAAUCUAAGAGAAGAAGCUUGAGAAAUAUUAGAAGAGCAACCAUAGUUUCUGGCAAUGAAGACUUCCAAAGAUGAGUUACACGAAACAUUAGCAUUUUCGCCUUCUGAACAAAAUAUUUCUUGGCAGUUACCAUGAAAAGCCAGCAAUACUUUACCAUAGGAACCACGAGCAAACCUUUUCUUUAGGGAUGGCUGCACUUUUAAAUUAGGCCAGAAUAAUUCCACAUUCACUGACUAUUGACAUCAACUCUUUAGGCAAAUCUGGUGGAAAAUUAUUUGAGACACUUUGAACGAGAAGUGCUAUUUACUGACUUGGAAAAAUGCUCAGGGACUUGGAUUUUAGAGCUGUAAACUUUCAAGAGAUCUGGGUUAUUGACAAAAACUGAAUGCUUGAUGGUGUUAUUUCGAAAAGAGUCAAAGGGGGAAUUUUAAGGUCGCAAACCCCACUUAAUUCAGCCUUCUUGAUUUUGACCUGGAGAGGAAGAAAUGAGGCGUGAUUUAAUCAUACCUUUGAAUAGGAGCAAACCUUCUUUUCCACUUCCUAAAUGAAUGUGGAUAUUCUUUCUUUCACCCGAGGAGGGCCAUGUUACACAUUCUACAAACCAAUCUUUGGAUGAAUGGAUCUUGGCAAGGUGCACCACACCAUGAUCAACCCUUGAUUUCUUUAGAAACAAAGAAUAAUGUGGCAAGGGUAAUAGAUGAUUCAAGGAUUCUUCAAGCUGCAUUCUUGAGGAGAGGAACACUUUGAUUUUCCCGCCUAGAUCUUCAACAUAAAAAACCCUGACCUUAUUUCGAAACGCAUAAAAAUGUUGUUUAUCUUCCAACUCUUUACACUCAUGAUAAUAGCCUCUGGAUGAAUAACACAACAUGGGGGUAUUUUGAAUCUGUGUUUUGUAUCUCUCAAAGCUGUCUUGUUUUGACAGGAACUUUCUUUGAUUACAAGCAACCUUUCUAUGGUUCAACUUAAUGGGUUUUGACGGCUUGUGUCAUUUUAAUAAUCAUCUCUCUUGCAUGUAGGUUGUCAAGAGCUUCUCAUCUGGUAAAAGGGAAGGGGGAGAUUUUGUUGCCGCUUGCUUAUCACCAAAAGGUGAAUGGAUAUACUGCAUUGGUGAAGACAGGUCUGUUUUCUUAUGUUAUGGAUGGAUAAAAAUAAAGUCAUCCAGCUGUGCUGUGUACUUGAUUUGUCAUGUUUGGUUAAGUGUGAAAUUUGUUCUUGGUACUUGAUAGCUGAUAGGUACUCAUACUUAACAAUGUUGCAAAUUCUUGGUAGUUGGUACCCUUUUCAGUUUCAUGUUUGGUGCAUUUUUUUUUUUGGGGCGUGGCUGUUUAUAGGUACUUUACAAUGUUGCAAAUUAUUUUAGUUGGUACCUUUUUCAGUUUUUACGGAAGUAUGGUUGUUUGACCUUUACCAAUAUGCAAUUUCUUCAGUGGCAUAAGUACAACUAUAUACGAGCUAGUCCAGGUUUAGUACCCCUAGACUAUAUGAUCUAGAAUUGUAGUUUAUAGGUACUUUACAAUGUUGCAAAUUCUUGGUAGUUACCUUUUUAGGGAAAUGAUUUGUCUGACCAUACCAAAUUGUAUUUCUUCUGUCAAUUUUUGGUUAGUGACCUAGAUUAUAUGAUCUUGAAUUGCCGCUCUAAAUGUUGGUCGUCCAUAGGUACUUUACAAUGCUGCAAAUUCUUGGUAGUUGGUACCCCUUCGGAAGUAUGAUUGUUUGACCUUACCAAACUAUAAUUUCUUUGGUGGAUUUGCCUAACUAUAUGUCUAUCUAACGAUUCUAACCAAGCUUUAGUACCCUAAACUACAAAUUACUUUUUUUAAAAAAAUAAAUUUAAUUUUUAAUGUUUGAUCUUUAAUUUGUCUGUCAUAUGCAGGAAUAUGUAUUGCUUCAGCCACCAAUCCGGUAAGCUGGAGCAUCUCAUGAAGGUAUGGGUUUUGAACUCCAAUUACUUGGGGUUUCUCUUGGCCGAUUCUCAAUUGCUAUAAAAAUAUAUUUUCUAGUAAACAACAUAUUUCCAAGAAUAUCGAAAGAUUGGAACAGAUUUUUUAUCAAUGGCAUUUUUAAUUAGUUAAAGUAUUUCAUUUAAAUAUUUGAUGAAAUCAGAGUAGGCUCGCUAAUAUGUAAACUAUAAGGAAUUAAGUUACUGUACUUUAGGCUGCCCUUUCCGUCAAUGAUUAGUCUGAUAAAGUAAUAGAAACUGUCUCAUCCUUGGUUUGUCAUAUAACUAGAUUAGUUUCAAUGUCAAGUUGAUAGUCUUUACAUUUAAAGUUUAUCAUUGAUAUGUGAUAUCAAUGGAAUAAAAAAGAGCAUAGAAGUGAUAUGCUGCUUUAUUCUCUAUCCAGAAUUGUUUGUAUGCUCAUUCUAUCAUUUGAUAUACAAUAUCAAUAGAAUAAAAAAGGUUUCUAACAGAGUGAUAUUUGGUUUUGUUUUCUAUCCAUAAUUCUGUCUGCCGUUUAAAUAUUUUUUAGGUUUUAAAUAAUUUACACAUAUCAGUCUAUUAGUAUACAUAUAUCAUAUAUCGCUAACUGGCAUAAAUUGUCACUACAAUUGGUUUGGAUUGUUAUGUAUUCAAUUACAUGACGGGAUGCUAGAUUGUUUGAACUCGAAUUAAGUCUGAAAAGGGAAAAAUUAACGAUACAAAAUUCUUUUAAUUUGUUUCUUCCAGGUUCAUGAGAAAGACGUGAUAGGCGUGAGUCAUCAUCCUCAUAGAAAUCUCGUUGCUACUUAUAGUGAAGACAGCACAAUGAAAUUAUGGAAGCCUUGACUCUUUUACCUAUGCUAUUUUAUGUGUAAAACUUAGCAGUUUUUAAGUUAUAUUGUAUUCAUUUAUCUCGUUAGCAACUUAGUUUUCUAGAUAGACUUUGGCAUUAUUUUAAAUGAUGAUAACCCAUGUAUGGAAUCUUGUGGUGGUGUUGCGUGCGCAUGCCCAUCUGUGUAGAGUAAAGAUAAAGUGGUAAAUCGAUUUCUUAGGAGUUGACAACUGCACUCUACUAUUCCUUAGUGCAUUAUUUUGAUUUUUUUUUUCUUUUUUUGAAAAGACAUUAUCUUGAACUUUUAAGUAUAACCUUUGAACCUUUUGAUCUAAAUGUCCUUAUUGUCAUAUUCUGGUGUCGCUAAUCACUGGGUGACGUCUCUAUCUAAAAGCUAGAAAUUGGAAUGAGAGCCAAAGCCAAGUUUUUGAUGAGUCCUAAGUUAUGUGAAGUACUUGGUCACCAUAAGAAUAGGAAACCAAGGUCUUUUAUUCUUAUACAAGUAUACACUCUUAAUUUAGAUGUUUUGGUAUUUACAAGCUGCAAAAUGUUUCCUUCAUCGCAUGUAGAAUGAAUAUUACACGAAGUGAACAGCAUGGCAUGUAUGAGUAUAUGAGUGAUCUAAAGAAUAGUUGUUACUGAUAUUUGAUGUCUUGGUGCCAAUUGAUUUUAAAUAGACAAGGUAACCAUAAGAUGGUUUCUUAUUCCAUUUUAUAUUUCAUCCUUCAGUUUGCAGGCCUAUGCAUUUUGAUGCCCUUGCUGAUGAUGCGUGGUUAUUUAGGACCGCCCAUUUCCCCCGAUAGUCUACUUGAUUUUUAACUUGUCUUGUGCUUUGCUAAAUGUUCUAUUAUGUAGUCAAUGACAGUACGAAACUACGGAAAGAAAGUACCGAACCUUGGCCAGACUGAGUAUGAUGUAGGUAGAGUUUAAAAUUUAUCAGACGGGCUCGCAUUCAAGAAGCUUGAUGAUUUGAAAAAUUCAAUCAACCCACGAAUACGGUUGAGUUCAAAUGAAUGCUGUGUUUAUCGACGGGGGGUUAGCUUUUUAAGUUCAUUUAAAGUUGGUUUUGGGUUGAAUUAAAUAAGUCUAAGGAUAAUUUCUCUUUGGUUCAAAUCUUUUAUCUUCGUUUCUAAACUUCGUAUAAUUUUCUAAUUGAAAGAUGAUGAGAAUUUUAUAUUUAGAUGAUUAAACUAUCAAAUAAGAUAAUCACUUUUAAUAACCUAAAAUUUUAGUUUUUAAUUAAAAGUUAAAUUUUGUAUAAUUUUCUAAUUGAAAGAUGAUGAGAAUUUUAUAUUUAGAUGGUUAAACUAUCAAAUAAGAUAAUCACUUUUAAUAACCUAAAAUUUUAGUUUUUAAUUAAAAGUUAAAACUUUGUAUAAUUUUCUAAUUGAAAGAUGAUGAGAAUUUUAUAUUUAGAUGAUAAAACUAUCAAAUAAGAUAAUCACUUUUAAUAACCUAAAAUUUUAUUUUUUAAUUUAAAGUUUGAUGGUUAAUUAACGUUUUAUUAGAGAACUCAAAACGGUGAUUUUCAUUGUCUUCAAGAUUUUUCUCAUCACCGUUUUUGCAUCAUUGUCAUUCUCUUUCACUUACUCAACUUAUAUGUUGGCUGUGGUUCAUCCACAUACAUGUUUUCUAAUGUCCCAAGUUUGUAUACAUGUUUUCUAGUGUCCCAAGUUUGUGAUUCAUUAAAGUGCAUUUUUUUGUUCAUCUCAAUUCUUUAUUAUUUUUUUUUUUUUGAAGGGUUUUGUGAUUCAUUGUGAGAACAUUUAUCUACAAUUUUGUAGAGUUUAUUUUAUAUAUAUGUUUAGAGAUGAAAAUAAAAUUUUAACCAUUUUCUAGUUUAUUUUACCUUGUCAUAGAUGUCAAUACUAAUAUAACAAUUUUUUUAUUAUACUCAACCUCGUUAUUUUAAUUUGGUUCAAGAUUUUAAUUAGAAGAAAAAAUAAAGGGUGAAGAGCUGAAAAAUGAAUGUGAGAGAUUUUUAAGUUUUAGAGAGAAAAGAUAACAAAAUUAAUUUUAAAUUUAAAUUUAUUUGAUUCAAGUGUAUUUAUCAUGUUUAGGUUGACAUACAAAAUUUAUAGAAUAAACCAAUAAGGUUUCUUGAUUAUUUACCAAUUUAAUUAAUAUGAUAAAUUCAUAACUUAAUUAUCUAAACGUAGAAGUGAUUGUUAUUAAUUAAUACGUUAAAUCCAUAACUGAGUUAUUUAAAGUAGAAGUGAUUGUCAUCUUGUAUUUAAAGACUUAACAGAAUUCUAAUGAUAAAUAUUAAAGUAAAGUUUUUUAUAAAAGUGCACAUACUACAAUAGACUAAAUAGGAUAAGGAAUUGACAAAAAAGAAUAAGGCAUGAAGUUUAAAGAUUUGUAACUUUUUUUAAUUAAAUAUUCCCGGAGGACUUAAGUACUACCUUUCCAUCAUGUCAAUGAAAUCAUCAAAUAAACAUGUGUGCCCAUUUAUGAGUUCCAGCUUCUCUACUUAUGGGAUCCACAUGAUAGUUCUGAUCCACCCCAAAAUAAAUAAGACGAAGGAAAGUGGCUAAACUCGAUUGUAGUGGGAAAUUUUUUUGCUACCUCUUUCUUUCCAUGAGUGACAUGUGACUCCAAUGGUAAACUUUUAUCUAUGUAAUUUUUUACCAGGCUGAUGGCCCUACCUCAGUUUUAAUUCAACGAUUUUUUUAAUUAACAAUUUAUUUUAUCAUCUUCAAUUUAUAUUUUAAAAGAAAAUCUGUCAAAUCUAAUCUAUCUAAAAGAAUAAUUAUAUAAAUCUCAAUCUUAAAUUAGAUUUUAAUAAAUGUAUCGAACUUGUAAUUAUAUCAAUUGAACUCAAACUUUAUCAAAUUGUGAAUUAUUAGGUGAUUUUUUUUAAAAGUACUUAUAAUGGAGUUUAUAUUUGGUUAUAAAAAUUUAUGAGUUUAAUUUGUUGAAAAAAAAUUAUAAGUGUUACAUAAUAUUGUUCGGAUAAAAUUUAAAAGAGGACGUAAAGGAAUACAUGAAUUCAGAAUUUAAAUUGAUGCAGUUUAGGGGGUUUAUGCUACAAAUUAUAUGACUAUCAAAAGUUUAGGGGGUUUCUAACUUUCUAGUAGUAGGAUUGAAAAUUUUCCGGCUUGUGGACAUAUUCUUAAGCCAUGCACAAGACCAAGCCGCCUUAUGCUUUUCCUUCUCAUAAUAAAGUAGAUGGGAUCCCCAUCCCCCCUUGAGUUGGUUAUUAUUUCAGAACAAAAGGGAAUUGUGAUCGUUGGGAAUCGGAUAUGUUGGUAUUGCUGCUGCUUCAUUUACUGCGUUGCAAGAGAACAGAUGAAUACAUUUACUAAUUACUACCUUCCCAACUACCACACCUUCAAUUCACCCUUCCUAUUAAAACCACUCUCCUUCACAUCCAGUUCGACACUAUAUCAACCAAUUCCUUCCUUAUUUUAGCUUUCUCAAACAAAGUAGAAGGGUGAUGGGUAAUGUUAAGGUUAACAGUGUAGCGGUUGUUAUGGGGAUGGUGUUGUUGUUUGGUGUAAGUCUUGGGCAAUUUGAAGGAGGUGGAAACGGUCCGUUCACACGUGGCGAUGGCAGUGGCAGGAGAAGGCCGGAGAAUGAGAUGGUACCCGCCAUGUUCGUAUUUGGAGACUCUCUCAUUGAUAAUGGAAAUAACAACAAUCUUCCUUCCUUCGCCAAGGCCAACUAUUUCCCCUACGGCAUUGAUUUCAAUGGUGGCCCAACUGGCCGCUUCUCCAAUGGCUACACCAUGGUCGAUGAAAUAGGUAUGCGAUUUUUCAAGCUAUAAGCAUGCAUGUAGAAAUGGAUAUAUUAUAAAUUUACAUUGCAUUGCAUAUACAUGUAGCGGAGCUGCUAGGACUCCCUUUAGUCCCAGCCUUCUCUCAAGUUUCUGGACCCCAAUCUCUGCAUGGAGUCAACUACGCAUCCGCUGCUGCAGGCAUUCUUGACGUUACGGGAAGAAACUUUGUAAGUAUCCACUCCUAUAUUGUAAUUAUUUGAGAAUUCACUAUAUUGAACAUUACACAACUUUGAGAUUUCAUCAGGUGAGUCGCAUACCUUUCAAUCAACAAAUCAGAAACUUUGAGAACACGCUGGAUCAGAUUAGUAACAAUCUAGGUGCAGUUAAUGUGGGACAAUCCAUCGGACGGUGCAUAUUCUUUGUGGGAAUGGGGAGCAACGACUACCUCAACAACUAUCUUAUGCCCAAUUACCCCACUCGAAAUCAAUAUAAUGCUCAGCAGUACGCGGAUCUGUUGGUCAGCCAGUACAUGCAGCAGCUCACUGUCAGUAUCAGUAACUCCAAUUUCAAUCCUAUUAAUUAAUUUGGCAUACGUAAUUAAUGAAUAGCUAUUACUAUUAUUAUUGUUAUUAUGGGCAGAGACUGUACAAUCUGGGUGGGAGAAGAUUUGUGAUAGCAGGGUUGGGGCUGAUGGGGUGCAUUCCAAGCAUCCUGGCACAGAGCCCAUCAGGAAGCUGCUCAGAAGAAGUGAACCAACUUGUUCGACCUUUCAAUGUGAAUGUGAAGAGUAUGAUAAACCAGCUGAAUAACAACCUUCCAGGAGCAAGAUUUAGUUACAUUGACAUAGAACGCAUGUUCCAGGACUUGCUUGUCAACUCUAGAUUUUAUGGGUUAAGUGUAUUGAACAGAGGAUGCUGUGGAAUUGGGAGGAACAGAGGCCAAAUCACAUGCCUCCCAUUCCAAACGCCCUGUACCAAUCGAGAUCAAUAUAUCUUUUGGGAUGCAUUCCAUCCCACUGAAGCAGUUAACAUCCUCAUGGCUAGGAAGGCUUUUAAUGGCGACCAAUCCGUUAUUUCCCCUUUCAAUAUCCAGCAGCUAGCCACUCUUUGAACCAAUUGCUCUACAAUUUUCGUCUUCAACAAAGAAUUUGCAUCGUUACAAGUUUUGUAAUGUCUUUCCUUCUUAUGUAAUGCAAUGCAAUGCAAGAAUUUACUCAAUACUUUCAUACACAGUGAUCUAAUUAUCAUGGCUUUCUUUAAAAAUAAAUCUAAUAAUAUUUAAUCACCACUAAGUCUAAUCAACUUAAGUUGACGGAUUAGAGUAAAUUUAGUAAUAUCAAUAGUUUAACCGUUCUCACAUAAGUGAAAAUCAAAUCAAUAUUAAUUGGAAUGCCGCAUGUUCUAAUACAAAAAACUUGGGGUUGGUUUUGCAUGUAAAUAUAAUGAAAAUGGUUUUGUAUAAGAAGAAAACGACGGUGAUGUGUAAGAUGGAAAACUAGGGGCAAAAAGGUGUGUCCGGGCGUGUCCUAUGGCUUGGAAUGCUGAAGUGCCUAAUCCUGCCCUCUUGUUUCGUGAGAUAUCCCUUACACAGAAAAGCCAUGGAGAAAUUGUCCUCAACCACUCUGUCCACAUCAUGAACGAACACAUCAGUCUCACCCUCCUGUCUAUUCCUAGCCAUAAGGCCAGCCGUGUAAAUGGCGCUCAUUCUUCCAGGUGCCUCAUUGAAGUAACCUGUUGGAGCAUCCACCAUUAUCAAGUCCCAUUCCAUCUCAUAAAUCUCGCUUGGAAACCCUUUAAGUGCAAGCUCACACUUGCAAAAUCUGGGGUCUCCCACAAUCUUGCAUUCUUCUCCCAUUCCUAUCUUCAUCAGCUCAUCCGCCUGAUGGACCUUGGUGUCGUACUGCACAUGAUACGCCUCCAAGUUGGGCAGCCGCUCCUGAAUUUGGUCGAUCCAUGCUUUAUCUUCUUCAAGGAAAACCGUGCGGCCGCCGUGGUUGAGAGCCGUCCACAUGAGGCUGUCAUGGCCCAAUCCGAACACCAAGAAGUUGCAGGGCGACUUAGUUUCCAGGAUUCUGGCGGACACAGAGAUCUCCUUGAGGGUUUGUUGAGGGGUUAUGUUGGUGGUUGCGUAAUGAAUGAGAGCAUUGGCCACAGAAGGAGGGGUUUUUGUGCAAAUUGGAAGAGAUGGGCAUUCUGGUUCAUCGGUCAAAACAUGGGUUUGGGUGACAGGGGGUGGAUUAUUCUGGGAAGAUUGAAAACCUGACCUGAUUACUAAGAGAAGGAAGGAAAGAAAGAGGAAGAGAAGGAGAAUGAGCUUAAGGUUAAUGGAGAGUGGGGGUCUGGUGGACCUCAUGCUCAUUGUUUCCAAGUUUCAAAUAAUGAUCAAAGGGUAGCAGAGAGACAUUUAUGAGCGUGAGAACAUAAAAGAGUGGAAGGAUUCACAGAAGUAGAGUUGAAGCAAAGAAGAGUUGUACUGAUUUGAUGUUGACAAGGUGGUUAGGAGGCUGUUGGUUUGGUUUGGUUGAAAUUUUUACGUGCAGUUGGUGGACCUGCUGUGGUAGACAGUUUCUUUACUCAAUCUUUGUUUCUGUGAAUCAAUAAAGGGGAAGCUUACGAGUCACUAUCUUCCUUCCCAAAAGAAAAAAAAAAAAAAAAAAUUGAAACUCAAAUCAUUUUAUUUGUAUUAUGCUAAUUGAAAAUUAGUAAUUAGGAAGACGGGGGAAUAGAAGACCGAUGGUUGUUAAUUUGGUUAAUUUUGAUGUAAUAUAAAUGGAAGACGGAAACGUGGUGUGGUUGGAGAUUUGGUGGGAAGAAUAAUGCGUUUUCUGUUGUCACUUAAUAAUAAACCAAAAUCAAUUAUCCAAAAAGCAUAUUGUUUUCCUUUGCAUCUGCCACUCGCUCUAUUCCUGAUCAGCCUGUUACUUUAACUCAUGCUUUGAUUUACUCUUCUUUUUAUUUUUUUCAAAUGGACCAAAUGAUCUAUUGAAUUCAAGUACGUCCGUAGAUAUGUAUUAUAGAAUGAGUUUUUUAAGAAUAAUAAAAAGAACAAAUAAGCCACUACACAAUUCUGAUAUAAUAGUAAAUUUUUUUUUUGUUAACUUUACAAUUUUUUGCAAUUCUCCCAAUCACCACUCACAUAAAUAGGAUGCAAGGCUAACUAAAUGUUUAAUAUCAACUUUAAUUACUUUUGAGGUUUUAUCCUCGAGUGGAUUUUCUUACCUAUCUAUAUUUUUUAAAUAUUUUUUGAUAUUUAAUAGAACAAUGAUUUUUAAAUAUUGUCCAAUAUAAUUAAACUAACAUAAAUUUGUAAUAUGACAUUAUGAAUAUGAUGGUUAAUUUUUCCUUCUCAUAAAACUCGAAUCUAAAAUUAAAAUAAUAUUUGAAAUUCUAUGUAAAUUUUUAAUGUUUACUUUGACUUCCAAACUAAAAAGUCAUGGUUUAUUUACUUAUUUAUUAACUUCACAUACAGGUGGAUGAUUUUGUUAAGAAAUAAAAUUUCUUUUCACUGCUGGACAAUAAUACUUAAAAAAAAUGAAUUUUCAGUUCAUAAAUUAUUCAAAACAUCCAUAUAUUUCCAACAACUGAUAAUUUUUUUUCAAAAAAUUUUCAAUCCUACUACUAGAAAGUCAUAAACCCCCUAAAUUUUAGUCAUAAACCCCCUAAAUUUUGAUAGUAAUUUAUGUAAUAUUUUAGUUCAUUUGGUUAUUAAAAUAUUUGGUAACAAUCGAAAGGAAAAUAAAAAGGCAGUUCUGCCGUGAGAAAGAAAGAGUAGGCGGCUAGGGCUGAAGUGGCAUUCCCUAUAUAAUGAGCGUCCAAUAUUUCAAACAGAAUUGAGCGCCACAAGCAUCUUUGUCAGUUUAGAGACAGAAUGAAAUUCGCUGUGAAGGCAUGGAGCAACGGCAAGGCGCGCACUGGAUUUCUGCAGCUCGGCAACUGCCCUGCCGCCAUUGACACUCCGGCGUUACUUCUCUCUACUCGCAAAGGACUUCCUCAUUUCAUCUCUCCUGAUCUUCUUCCCUCUCUCCCUUCCCCUGAUUCUCACCUCCUCCAAUUCAGUCCUCUUCACUUGUAAGUAUUCUACACUAUCCAUAUUCCUUCAGCUCCACUCGCCUUCACUGUGUUUUGAAAUUGGAGCGCGUUGCAUGGAUUUCCUUUUCAUUUAUUCGUUCUCGUAUUUCUUAAGAUUGUUUGUAUGCGAAGACGACUCCAUGACUUGAAACUGCUCCAUAAUUAUGAGAAUACGACGGGCUAAAGAAUGAGAUAAGAAGUUCGUAUUUAGUAAUAAUCGUGUGGUGCCUUUUAAAAUUUUCUAGAGGAAUACGUCAUGGUGGUUGGCACUGAUAGUACUAUGUAUAGGAAAGGACGCUUUCGCACGGUAGAGUGGCGGUGGAUGCAGGGUGUGUGAUCAUGGAAGUUGAAAUGAUAACUAUGUCCUCGUGAUUCUUAAAUAACUAAACGACUAAUUUACGUGGUGGCUACUUGCGCUCUAGACUCUUUCGAGAUAGUUCAUCUAGGGAUUUCUUUAACAAUCCUUUGUAUUCGUAAAACAGCGUCCGGUAAAUAUGGAAUCCAUUACUUUUAUCUGUCUUUGGUCCUUGAUUCUGAACGUUGUUUCUCGAUGUUCUUUGAACACGUGUGCUCCUGUUACAACUGCCUUGUAUCGGUUAAGAUUUUCACGAUUCAUUCCUUCUUGUAUAAAAACAUCAGUUGUACUUCACCGUGUAGUCAAGAAAUAAGUUAUGUUCAUUUCAUCUUAAUGUUUCAAUUAUAACAUGAAGAUUGCUUUUCUUAAUAGAUAUUGUUUUGUUGAUAGUCACAUUAAAUAUUUGUUCUUCUCUAGAGAAGUCACAUUUACUAUUUAAUCAUUUAAAUAUUAGCUUGGAAGGUCCAUCAUCGAAAACAAUAUCGAAUAUUGGAGGGCUCCAGCAUUUACUUGGUUUGCAUGAAUAUGGAUUUGCUGCAGUAGCGAGAGAUUCUGUUCAGUCCCUUCCAGAAUGUGAUGCUACAAAUAAAUUUGGAGCAUCUUUUGAGACAACUUGUGGUCGUCGUUUGGUAAUGGAAUCUCAUCACUCUUUUUCAUAUCAACUUUUGUUAUCCCUUUCUUUAUUAUGUAGUUUGAAAGGAAAAAAAAAAAGUCUAAGUUCCUUUUGAAAUUGUAGAUUAGACCUGUUGAGUACAUUGAAAUGAUUUCAUCCAUGAAACCAGACAUUUGGGCAUCCUUGGCUGAUGAAGUGCCCUCAUGGGUUUCAGAUAAAAGGAAUAAAACAUCAGUGGAUCGAACAGUUAAAUGGCUGGAUGAAUGCAUCGCAUUGAACUCAGUAAGAAUGCUUGAAUAUUCCUUUCAUAGUAUUAAUUGUAUCAGCAUUUUCUCUAGUUUUGAGCUCUGCUAGAUUUAGAUUUCUAAUGUUGAGAAAUGUCAGUGGGCAUCACUUAUAAGCGUUUGGAUAAGCAGAACAUAAUUGCUCUUUUGUAGUUUGCUGUGUGUUUUAAACAUAACACGUGUCUAUGCUCACAGAGAGAACAUAAGUUGGGAAAAACAGCUGAUUAGAAAUUAUGCUUAGGAGAUCAUCUGCAUGUGCAGUCCUUUGUGGAAAUUUAUAGCAUAAUAAUGACUUGAUAGAGGAAACAUCAUAGAGAACAGGAGGAGCAUAGAAUGUUGACCAAAAUUUUUAAAGCAAGCUGUUUAAAGGAGGGAAACAAGAAAUCUGGCCCCUUUUAAAUUGAUUGAUAGAAAUGACAUAAUUUUAUCCGAUGAGGAUAUGGUGAGAGGUUGUACAUUUUUACAAAAACCUGGGAAUGUUAGGUGACCAGAGAUUUUCCAAAAUCUGCAGUGAUUGGUUGGACGGGCUUUUAUUUUCAUUUUUUUAGGAGUAGAUUCUCAAAAGUGAAAGGGUUAGGACUUUGGGUGUCUAAAGUCUCCUGGUCUAGAUGAUAUAGCCUAUGGGUGAAAUUUUGUGAAAAGAUGGAGCAUCUUGAAAAACAUGAUUUGAUUGUGGUUUCCCAUAGUGUUUUAGAGGUGGUUGUUAACAAAUGCACAGAUGAAACCUACACUUUCUAUAUCCCCAGACUUCUAAUUCAAGUAGACUUAUUUAUUUGUGAUUUUAGUAACUUUUGUCCACCUAGAUUUCUGAAAGAGUUAUGACUGUUGUGUUUAAAAAUCAUUGAUGCAGAGGCAGUAUGAGAACACUGUCAUGAAUCAUGAUCAAGUGAUAGUAUUUGGCUUUUGUGUCUUGGUUUGAUUCAUUUUACAUUUUUCUUUUCCUAAUCAUGUCAUGAUUGAUUUGGAAUAAGUAACUUAUUAUUAUAAUGAAGACAGGUGGGGCUGUUUUUGGAGCUAUUGUCGGGGGCAAUGAUCUUGAAGAACGCCAAAGAUGUGCUGUGGAGGUUGUGAAGCGUAAUGUAUCAGGUUCUUUAACAUGUUCUUUUCACAUUAAGGUGAAAUAAUGGUAACAAGUUCAAGAAUUCAUGUUUGGAAAACUAGUUUUGAGUAAUAUCAAUUUCGAGCUCAAGCAGAAUUUCUCUAGACUGCCAAUGUUCUUAAUAAUCUGUUUGUAUCAUGUCUCUUAAGGUACAUAUUCAAAAUUAUUAGCAUACCCCAUAAAAUUUUGAAACAAAAUAUCUAGAUUUACGUUCCUGAUGUUUUCUUUUCAUAACACCCUUAGCCCUAUCUAGUAUGUAAGGCAUGAUAGUUUUUUGUUUUCUUCAGUUAAAUUUAUCAUUUCUAUCUUAGUUUUAAGCUUCUUGUUCUAAUAUUUCAGUUCAAACAAACAAUUUUUGUUAGGUUACUGGAUUGGAGGUUUUGGGUUUGGAGAAAGCAUGGAUGAGCGUCCUUCCCUUCUUGAUGCUGUUACGGUAAGGAUUUAGCAUCUAGUAUUGUUAGGUUUGUUCUUUUUGGAGUAUCACCAUUCUUUUCUUGCACCAACUAAGAAAUAAGAACGUGCAUGUUUUUCGUGUGUAGUAGUUUGAGUUGAACUUUGAAGCUUAGUAGUAGCAAGUUAGAUUUGUAGACUCUCUCUGUUAAAAAUUUGUUGGAGCUUGGUCUGGUUUUUUUGAGGUUUUUUUCUUCUAUUCUCUGUACAUUCACAGUCCUUGGUAAUCUAUUCCAACAAAAAACAAAAAGGCAACUGCGCCUAUUCCUUUACUUCCAUAUAUCCCUUUGCUUCUCUCUUUUUCUUUCCGUCAUUUCCCUUCAGUUUCCAUAUCAUUUGUUAACAAUGUUGGAGCUUGGUCUUGCUUGAGGUUGUUUUUUGCCUUUGUUUUCUAUGUUCUAAAUAGCUCUGUACAAAGCUGUGUUGCCUCGUUUCUACUUUUUUGAUGCAUUUUUUUUCUUUCUGGGCAAAUUGCAAAUUAUAAUAAACCAAUUGGACUUUUUUGUUUUGAAAAAGAGUAUUUCUAGUAAUUCUUUCAUUGCUUGCACAGGAUGUUUUACCAGAGGAAAUGCCGCGUAUGAUCUGUGGGCUUGGACUUCCAGGUAUAGUCUUUCAAUCUUUUGGGGUUGAAGUUGUUUGACGAAUAACGACAUGUUUGGUAACGAUUCUGAAAUUGUUAAAUCAUUUUUAUCAUUUUUCAUAUACACUUCAAAAAUACUUUUUAAUUAUUUAAAAUUUCAUUUAAAAGGAUAAAAUUAAAUAUUGAAUUGAUUUUGAGUGAUUAAAUGUGUUUUUUAGAGAGUUUGCAAUUUAGGUAAGUUCUCUCUCCUCUCUGGUUGCUGGUGUUUCCUCCCAGUUUCCCCCAACGAGUUUGACAACACAAAAUGGAGGUAGUUACAAAGUAUGAAAUCAAAAGCAUGUAAUCAGAAGCAGCGGGUUAUCAAGAACCUUGAAGUUGCUCAAACUAAAUUUUGAGCAGCUCUGGAUAGUUACUAAACAUUUUGCAUUCAACGACCGGAGAGAAAUACGAAGUGUUGGAACCUUAUUUCAAGCUAAGAUUGUUAUAAACCCCCUGUUUGCAUUAGUCUUGACCAAGGCUCGAUCAAGGACUACAUUAGUGGAGAUGGGAUAUGACAGUCGAUAGGUUCUUGAACAAUGGGACAAGCUCAAGCACAACCGGCCAAUAGUCAUGAAAGGAUUUGGAGGAUGGUUGAAAAUAAAAAAUCCUCAUUUGGACUAUUGGUGCAGAAGAGCUUCGAGGUUAUUAGAGACCAUUUUGGGAGACACGAGCUCAUAGCCUUAGAGAAAGUCAAUCUUACAAAUUGUAGUGAAGCAAGAAUCAAAGUCAAGAAGAAUGUUUGUGGUUUUAUGCCCUCAACGAUAUAUAUCAAAGAUUUUAAGAGAGGAAACAUUUUCUUAAACUUUAGUGAUAUUGAACAAUUGAAUCCGCCAAGUAAAAUAAGCAAGCCACUAGUGAUUAAAGGCUUUGAAAACUCCACUGAUCUUUUGCGAAUUAGGACAACUUUACAAGAUGAAGCGGUAGAUUUUUCUAGUUUCCCCUGGUUCUGAAUGUCCCAAAAUCCACCUUCGCAGUGUUACCAUUAGCAAGAAAUCCAUAUGAAGAUCUACAACUUCCUCAUGAACACCCAUUGGUGCCAGAGAGGAGGAAAGAGACGUUCAGGCAGGCCGAAAUAGUAUUAAAUCCGCAGAAGAAUGAAGAGUCACAGUUAAUGAACUUUGCUAAACCUGUAAAAGACAACUUUUUGUUAAGUCUGUGGGCCCACGAUUCAUGAUUUCUUUUCUAUAAAUCAUCAGGUAGCUGAAGGGGGUCGGACAGAGGAAAAGGAAACAGAAUGGCGCCUUCCCUCACUGCCUCGAGUGGUUCUGAAAAUGCUGCUGCUAGACCACCCUUUUCACCACAAAUUUUAAACGGCCUCUCUCUCAAAGAACUCCAUUUAGCCGGUGUCGCCCAAUCUUCAACAAAGGUUGUUACCCCAAUCAAGCUCAGACUAUGUAAAGGAAAGAGUAAAGGCAGCUCUCUGAAAAUCCCCCCUAAAGAGUCAUUAGAAAACAAACAUCUUUUGAUAAUGUCUGGACUGCAUUGCUAAAGUGUGAAUCUCUUGGUGCUUGCUCCCUCAAAGCUCCAAAAGAGGCCCCACAGCAGAAAUCAAUGAGCAAGCUCUCUUUGUUUUAGGAUAACCCGGAUGUUCUGGAGGUCUGCAGCUCCAAAAAGCAAACUGUUACACUUCAAAACAGGCCAGUUACAGUUCCACCAACUCUUAAACUUUUUAAUUUCUUGAGUUUCACAGAUCCUAACACUAAAAUCACUUUAUUACGAGGAUGUCCAUGCCAAUCGGUUGACUCAGUUAAGAAAGUCAAACACAGAAAUAGUCUCUCCCUAUAGUGUUAGCAAUGAAGAAUCAAAGGGUUUGAAGUACACUAACAAGAAUGCUGAAAUAGAAGCAGUGGAUUUGAUUACUUAUUUAAAAGGGGAGGCCCUGUUAAAUUAUUAGAAGUCCCACUGCUGGUUUGAGUAAGGCCUUUCAGGAUCCCUUUCCCAUGAAGAUAAUUUCUUGGAAUACAAGGGGACUGAAAGAUCCCACCAAGUGCUUAGCCCUCAAGAAAUUCAUAAAGAAUCAUCAUCCAGAUGUGGUUAUGAUUCAAGAUCGAAAAUGGAAAACUUUGAUGCAGUAUUUUGUUAAGUCAAUAUGGAAUUCCAAAGACAGCGAAUGGGAGUUUGUGGAAUCUUUAGGUGCAUCAGGAGGUAUCCUCACAAUGUGGGACAAGAGCAAAAUUACUGUGGUUGAGAAUAUCAAAGGGAGGUUUUCUCUCUCAAUUAAAGGCGAUACGGUGUGCAAGAAACGAUGUUGGAAUACCAAUGUAUAUGGUUCGUGUGGUUACUGGUUACAGAGAAAAAAACUCUUUGGCCAGAGCUCUCAUCCAUUUUAGAAUGUGGUGUUGAGGCUUGGUGUUUGGGAGGAGACUUCAACGUUACUCGCAUGGCAGAUGAGAGACCUCCCAUUGGUAGAAACACAAGAGGAAUGAGGCUUUUUAAUAACUUCAUUGAUUCAGCUAACAUCAUGGAACUUCCUCUUCAAAAUGGCAGAUUCACAUGGUCUAGAGAGGGAGGAUUAGCCUCAAGGUCCUUGCUGGAUAGAUUUUUUAUUUAUAACAAAUGGGAAGAAGUGUUUGAGAACAGAGUGUCCGGUAAAGCAUGAAUAUUCUCUAAUCAUUUUCCUUUACUAUUGGAGUCGGGCGAUUCUAUGGGGGCCUUAUCCAUUCAGGUUUUGCAGUAGCUGGCUGCUGGUCAAAGAAUAUAAUCUAGUCAUUGAAGGAGCUCUGAACAGUCCUCUUGGCAAUGGUUGGGCAGGAUUCAUAUUACAUGAACAACUGCACAAAGUUAAAAUAACAGUAAAGGAGUAGCACACCUUUUUUCAGGUCUCCUUUAAGCAGAAAGAAGACAGGUUGUUGAAGGAAUUCAAAGCCUGUGACGUGAUUGCAGAAUGGUUUGGUUUAAAUGAUGAAAAUUGGCCCGUAAAUCUGCCAUUCAAGCAGAUUUAUUAAGUGCUUACAGAGUUGAAUAGAGAAAUUGCAUCCAGAAAAGUAAACUAAACUGAUUGGCAGUAGGGGAUCAGAACACGGGCUUCUUUCACAUAUAUCUUAAUGUAAAAAAAGGAGAUAUUUAAUCACAAAAUUGGUGGAUGAGCAAGGGAUGGCAACAAAGUCAUUUCGAGAUAUUGAGAGGCUUUUAUUGGGAUUUUUUUUAUGGCUUCUAUAAAAGGAUUCCAGGGGACAGAUGCAUCCCUUAUAUUACAGACUGGCCUUGUGUCACUCCCAAUCAGAAUUUGCUACUUGUCACUAGAUUUUUGGAGGAGGAAAUAUUUAAGGCAGUCAAGGCACUUGGUGGAAAUAAAGCUCCCAGAUCGGAUGGUUUCAUCAAGGAGUUCCUCGUGAAGCACGGGCUGAAAUCAAAAGGAAGCUUUAAAAAUUUGUUUGAUGAUUUUCACAUAAAUGUAAAGCUCAAUGCUUGCAUUCAAGAAAACUUCAUUUGUUCAAUACAAGGGAAAGAGGAUGUGGUUCACGCAAAGGAUUUUAGACCCAUUUGCCUAACCACCCUCACAUACAAGGCGAUAGCUAAAUUGUUAGUGGAUCGUGUAAAACUGGUUUUGGAUUCAAUCAUAAGCCCAUUUCAAAGCGCAUUUACUGAAGGAAGGAAGAUAUUAGACCUGGUUCUAAUAGCUAACGAGGCAAUUGAAGUCUAUCGUGCUAAAAAGAAGAGAUGGAUUUUAAAAUUAGAUCUUGAAAAAGCCUUUGAUGGAGUGGAUUGAGGCUUCCUUGAAAAGAUAUUGCAUUGUAAGAAGUUCAACUCUAAAUGGUCAUCCUGGAUGUUGGGUUGCCUAAAAAAUCCUCGAUUCUCCAUCUUCAUCUACGGAAAACCAAGAGGAAGGAUAGUGGCUUCUAUGAGGCAUUUGACAAGAAGAUCCUCUUUCUCCCCUUUUAUUUCUGCUUGUCAGUAAAGUUUUAGGAGGCACCAUUAACAAGGUGCACGAUAAAAGGUCAAUUUGAAGGCUUCAUGGUUGGAAAAGAUAGGGUUCACAUUCCAUUAUCCAAUACUCUGAUGAUACUAUCCUAUUAUGUAAAAAUGAUGAGGCCAUGCUCAUCAAGUUAAAGGAAGCUAUUAAUUUGUUUGAACGGUGUUUUGGCCAGGGGACAAAUCGGAACUCCAAAUGUGGGGAUGAAGAAUUACUCCAAAUGGUAGGAAAAUUAGGAUGCAAAGUGGAAAAGCUUCCUGUUUUGUCUUUAGGUCUUCCUUUGGGAGGCUAUCCAACGCAGAAAGACUUUUGACGUUCAGUGAUUGACAGGGUACACAAAAAAUUGGAUGCAUGGAAAAGGUUCAAUAUCUCAAGAGGUGGAAGACAGACCUUAUGUAAUUCAGUCUUGGCUAGCCUUCCAACGUAUUACUUGUCUAUAUUUGCCAUUCCAGAAAAUGUAGCUUCUACUCUAGAAAAGCUAAUGAGAAAUUUCUUUUUUGGAGGGACACUCUAGUAGAAAAAUAAACCAUCUGGUGCCUUGGAGAAAAGUCAGACCUUCUCAGCUUGAUGUGAGGCUGGGAUUGGGUGGUAUCAAAACUCAAAAUAUGACUGCUAAAUGGUGGCGAUACACGAAGGAGGAUAUCGCGCUGUAGAGACAAGUGAUAGAAGUUGGCAGUGAAGCUUUUGAUAGAUUGAUUGGCACACUUUGAGCAAUUUCGAGAAUAGUCUAAGAAGUCCUUUGGGUCAACAUCUUAAGAACAUGGAGAAAGGUGGAAGUAUUGGCCUCUUCUAAGCUUGCAAUGGAAGAAGAUUGGCAUUUUGGGCAAACUCAUGGGUAGGUAAUGUCUCUCUAAACAUUCAAUAUCUGAAACUAUUCAGAAUAGCCUUGCUUCCUAACGGUUCAGUUGCAUCCCAUUGGGACAUAGCCACAAACUCUUGGUCUAUAGUGUUUCAUAGACUACUGAAAGAUGAUGAAAUUCCGAACUUCCAAUCUUUGCUACUCCUCUCUUUUAAGAGAGUGACAUAAUUGGAAGAUAGAUGAGCACGGUCAUUAAACUCAUCGGGCAGAUUCUCAAUCAAAUCCCUUUCGACCCACCCUUCUUCCCCAUUGGACAAAGAUAUCUUUAAAGUUCUUUGGAAGACUAAUAAUCCAAGGAGAGUCAACAUAUUAAUUUGGAUUAUGGCAUUUGGUCUCCUUCACUGCUCCUACUUGAUCAUGCAAAGAAAAAUCCCUAACGAGUUCUUGUUGUGUUCGGUGUGUCCUCUAUGCUUAAAGAACAGUGAGGAUUUACUACGUUUAUUUAUUUUAAGCCCCUACUCCUUCAAUUGCUUGAGAAGUAUUUUCUUUAUUUUUAAUCUGGUUUGGACUUUCAACGGAUCUUUAAGUUCCAAUGUUUUUCAGUUGUUGAGAGCCCCUUUGUUGCCAAAGAAGCCGAGACUAAUUUGGAUAAACAUGGCAAAAGCUUUAUUGGCAGAAAUAUGGUUUGAGCGCAAUCAGCGGAUAUUUAGCGACAGGGAAAGGGGCUGGGUGGGCACUUUAGACACGACAAAUGGAUUAUUCUAUUCGGGACGUAUGCCUAAACUAGACAGCUUUCAUCCACCAAAGACUCAAGACUACAGGAUUAUACAUGUUUGGGGGCCUUUGGGAGUUCUAUCUCCCCUCCCUGUUUUGUUUCUUUGUUUUCCUCUAGUUGUUAGUCUUCUAGUAUAUUUGAUACCUAUAUGUUCUCUUGCUGUUUCUAUGGGAUAUAAUGAUGGCGCUAAGGGGAUGUCAACUUAGUUGAGAUGUUCGGGUGCAUCUCUUGAUCCUCUACUUUUAGGCUUCUCUAUUAUUCUCAUUGUAUAAUUUUCUUCUACUUUGAGUUUUAUAUUAAUAAAGAAGUUUUUUUCUGUUUAAAAAAAGUGCAUCUUAGAGUAGUAUUGAACAUGACAAAAGUGAUUUUAAUAAUUUCAAAAAUCAAAAUCACUCUCAAACAUGUACUACAUCAUGGUUUGACUUUUUGGUUGGACUCUUGUAUCUAAUCUACGAAGGAUGAAAAUAUAUAACUUUAAUAUUUUAAUGACACUAAAGUGAUGUUGGUUUAUGGUUUUAUUAGCCUCAAUAUUUGGUAGCUGACUUAAUAAAUAUUUGUAUUGGUGUGUCCUCAUCCUAUGAUGAAUUCGAAGGUUUCUACUUUACGUCUGGUUCUCAUUUUCAUUAAACUUUCAUUUAUUUAUAUAUACGUUUACUUUGAUGUUGCAGAGGAGGUCUUGCAGGGCAUUGCUGCGGGAGUUGAUCUCUUUGACUCUGCGUAUGUUGAUCAUUUUAAAUUUAGUUAGUUUGUCUUUCUAUGAUUGUUUCUCUAUAAAUAGUUCCAUUAUUGUGUUGUAGGUACAUAUAUCAUUUAACCCUUGGAGGCUUUGCUCUCACCUUCCCACUUGAUGGAAUUGUGGAGAAACAGCCAGACGCGCACCUGAUAGACAAUGCAAGUGACAUGACAAAGAUUAACUUAAGAGCAAUAGUUUUUCGGUAAGUUUUCAAUACUUAAGAUCUCUAUUAUUGCUUCAGUAUUGAUUUGCCAGCAUUUAGCCUUUUUCUAAUUUGCAUUAUCUAUGUCUUUGCCAAAAAAAAUUAUUGCUUUUGCCAGGAAAGAUACAUCACCAAUUCUUGAGGGGUGUAAUUGCUAUACUUGCCUGAAUCAUACGAAGGCUUAUAUAAAUCACUUGCUAAAUGUCCAUGAAAUGCUGGCUCAGAUACUGCUGGAGAUGUAUGGACGUUUCACUUGAUGAUAUAUACUUAGUCGUCCCUAAAUUUUAUUCUCACAAUAAUUAUUAAUUUAUUCUCACCUCAUUGCAGACACAAUACUUAUCAUUAUUUAGGAUUCUUUCAAUCAAUCCGAGAAGCAAUCAAGGUAGGCAAAUUUCAGCAAUUUCAUCAGAAAUUUGUGGAGGAGAGGCGCAAUCAUCUGACCUUGCCUACAUCAGCACUCAGCUCUUGACGAGCUCAUCUAACAAGUAAUUUUUAUAUUGAAAAGAAUGUUAUGCCUCAUUAAAUUACGUUAUGAGUUGAUUCAUAAUAUAUUAACAGCAAUGUGUACCUUCACUUAUUAAAGAGUACUUCAAUAAUUAGUGGUGUAGACUAGGGAGGUAUUAAUCAACGAUUAUUAUGUAUAAACUAUUCAAACAAAGAUAGCACAUAAAUCAUCUAACAUAAGAUCAACAAGAAAAUUCAAUGGAAAUUCCCAUACUAAAGACUACAUUGAUUGAUCAUCUAGAUUACAAGCAAGACAUUUAAUAUGUAUGGAAUAUAUGAGAUAUAAACCAAAUCUAUCGAGUAGCUGCAGAAUAUGUCUGGAAUAUAUAAGAUAAAAUCUGCCUGUAGUCGCCAGUCUUAAUACCAGUAUUGGGAUCAAUAAGGUAAGGUACCUGAUAUUUAGAUAAGGGAGGUAAUGAGUCCAUGAAGACUAUGUAUAAACCAUUGUGCUUCCAUGAAACUUAGUUCAAGUUUAGUGUGGGAUGAUGACUUGUUCUUCACAUAGUUUAGGUGGCGUUCAAUUGUUUGAAACUUAGUUCUGGUUGGUAGCUUUAGAAUUAUAAAAUAUUUUCAAAAUUUUAGUGUCUCAUAGUUUCAAAUAGGACUUAAUAUUAUUGCUAUAUUCUAUAAAUAUUUUGAUUCAUUUCGUUAGUUAGAAUUAAAGAUUUUUUUUUUUUUCAGUGUAGUGAUCUGCUCUUGAACCUGCAAAUGAGUUGAAUCUUGGAUUUAAACCUAUAAAAAAUAGUCAAUCAAUUUGAUUCCCCUGGUAAAUUUUAUAUACCUCCAAUUGAUUUUUUCAUGCAUCGUUACACAUAAUGAGGGGAGAAAUUUGAAAGAGAAGAGAAAAGGGAAAACUGAAAAGCAGAAAGGAAAGUAGAAAAAGAUUGUCCACUGUUUUUAUUUGUUAGUAGUUAACUAACAGUCAAAUUAACUUAGAAACCAUUUACAGUCAUAAACACUCAUUUCACCUUGAAAAAUCUUGUUUUGUUACCCACAUUCUAUGUUUUCAAAAAUCAAGUCAAAUGUUUUUCUUCAAAAAAUAAUGUUUAAAAGUUUGUUUUUAUUUUGAAAUUUGAUGAAGAAUUCGACUUUUCUGCUUAAAAAGAUCCAAACUAUUGCAGAAAGUAACUUAACUUUCAAAAUAAAAAAUCUAAAUAAAAUGGUUACUAGAUGGGACUUAAGUUCAUUUAUUUUAAUUCCUCAAAGUGUCUUGUCUUACAUUUUUCUUCAAUAAAAGGAGUUAUGUUCACCAAAUAUCAAAAACAAAAACGAACUUUGAAAAACCACAACUUUUUGUUUUUGAUUUCUCGAAAUAGUCUCUUCAACCAUUAAACCUAUUACUUUGAUAUCUACUCUUGCCUAUGCUUUCGAGAGGCAAGCCAAAAUUUGAAAAACAAAAAAACAGUUUCUAAAAGUUUGUCUUUUUUAAAAAAAAUUUUGGCUAAGAAUGCAAUUCUAUUGCUACAAGAUUUGAAAAUUUAUGUAAGAUAUGACAUAUAAUUAGGGUAUCUCGAUAUGUAAUCCUCUCUAGACUCAAGAAAAUUGAUAAGUUAGACGAGCUUUCGAAAAACAAUUGAUAAGAAUUGAAAAAGUUAUUUUUUUAGCAAAAUUUCAGUGGCUGAUCUCACCUAAGAUGAAUCGAGAAAAAUAAGUUAAACAAGGUUUCAAAAAACAUGCUAGUUUUGUAAGACGAAAACUUGACAGAUGUAGGAUAAACCGACGAGGAUUGUUAGUCACAUACACUAAUCCUAUACUUUUCCAUAUAUAUUUAGAGAAAGUAUCGAUUCAACUCUAAAUAAUGAGGUAAAUAGAAUGACCAUGAGAGCACGCAGGAAUUCAUGCAAACAAAAAUAUCAUAAUUAUCAUAGCAAAAAGUAAUGUGGGUUAUGUAGUAAGUAACGAACCUCUUCUGAUCCAGAAACGUCAAGAAGUAAUUUUGUCCUUGGAGAUCCUUUUCCCACGUUAUGCAGGAUGUAAGGAAGCUCCAACUCACAUAAUGCUUCGCGCACAAUUCGAGCAUACUGCAAAGUUUAGCGCAAUACUUACUUUUCCUCAAUACAUCAGAACUUACGUAUUACAAAACACUAUGAUACUGCAGUUUAUACUCUUAAUAUAUGUCAGCAUUCGUUAAUCCAUUGGCAUUCUUCAACCAAAUGGUAAACGGACUAUAAAAAGGUUGGAAAGGUAAUAUUAAUAUAUAUAGAUAAUCAUUCCAAUCCUGCAAUCUGAGAAUGGAAAGUACGUGCUACUUACUUUUAUACCGGCAUAUUUGGGGGUAUUUAUACAGUACUAACCCAACUCAACUACUAUAUGGUUGCAAACUUCCAACCCAAUACGACCCUAAUUCUAUACCAAAGUAAGCUGACAGAAGAAAAAUAAAACAAAGUAAUUUACCUGACGGAUUAUAUACGCAGCCUAAUCUUUAACAUUACAAUAAUGAAUCGUAGCUAUGGUAGAUUUCGGAGGUUAUAAAUGAAAAGGAGAGAUAAACACGCCACAGGCAUAUAUAACACAUAGGAUAUCUCAUUGGCAUACCGGAUUGUUUUCGUAUGAGAAAAGUUUGAGCUUUUCUGGCGGAGGGUCUGUUGAGGCCUUUCCCCACAAUGUCAUUCCUCUGCCAGCCCUAAGAAUUGUUGGCAUCCACCCCGAAAACAAUGUACUACAUAAAAUAAAAAUUUUAAUUAUGAACGAAAAAGAGCCAAUAUGGGCUUUCCAUAUGAAAAGGUAUGCACACUGCACACAUCUGUGAUAUCGGGAAACCCUUUCUUUCUGAUGCAUGAAGAUUGUGAAAACCAACAUGCUUACAGAUAAUAAAAUGAUUUCCCAUGUUAGUAAGGGGGUUCACAUUAGUCCCCAUAAUUAAGAACAUAAUUGAUUACCCAUAUUGCAUCUAAAAAAUUGUUCACGCACAUCUUGCCUAAACCUUUUUAAGACAAAUUUAAUAAGUAGAAAUUAAUAAGUCAAACAACUUUCAUACUUGUUCUCUGAAAAGACUAUAAUACGCUCAAUAACAAAAAAAAGGUUAAGACGUCCAGUUACCUUUCUAAAAGCCCUGUUGAGGGGCUUCUACCAUUUCCAUACUGAUAAAAGAGGUAUCUCACGAUAUCACCUAUAAGCAUAAAAUAGAAACCGUGCAUGUUAUAGAAUAAUCAAAUAGCACAGAAGCUGGCCAAGGAAAGUGAAAGAUAAGAACGCAAGAAUAUUUUGAAAGCUGAAGCAUUUUAACAACAUUAUCCCUCAUGUUUAAUGGCGUCCGAUCGGUAUAUUGCUGCUCUACAAAGUCAUGGUCCAGUUUGUUUCACUUUUCUUAUUCAUUGAGCUUAAGUCUCCGUUUUCUACCCUUUUUUAAAUUAUUUUGAGAUUUAUUAGGAUGAUGUUGGGAACAGCUACCAUUGCAAGACAAUCAUUCAAUGGUCUAUGCUAACGAACAAAUGUAAUAGUAUUGUAAAAGAAUAGUUUUAAAAUUUGAACAAUCAGAAUUUGCAGUUGGCUUGGAUUAAACCUAUAUUAUCAUGCGGAUCCAUCAACGCGUAAUUUCAAUCGAAUUUGUAGUCUUUUAAGAACAAUGCUCCUUCAAUGACCUUCGGAUUUUCCAUCACUUCAAAGUCCCCAAAAUUGAGAAAAAUAUGGCCCUGAAUUUCAUUUCUUAACUCGACCGUUGCCGGCAAGAAACCACACAGGUUUUGACUAACCUUGAUAGCCUCUGAACAGCUAAUCAUAUUCAAAGUAUAUAAAUAAAUACUUUCAAGUUCACCAAAAUAUGCUCCAAUAAUCCAAUGGUAAGAAUUUUAUAGAAAUCCAGCCUUCAUAACCUUUAACUACUUCGGGUCGAUUGUGCUUGAAGCUAUUCUAUAAUUCAAAGUAUCUAAAGAGACAAGAGAUAACAUUUUACGAGUUUGAGUUCACCAUACACAUAAACUAGGUGUUUAAUUAUUUACACUGCAGCAUAAAUCUACCAGGAUACUCCAAGAUGGCAAAUGUUCUUCUUUAUAGUAAUUAGUUUUGUUUUCCCCUUGUGGAUGCUCCACCCUCGUCCUCACUCUUUUCAUUUGUGCCCACGAUUGCUUGUUUCUUAUCUAAAAGGUGUAGAAAGGAAAGGAGAAUGACAAGAAGAAUUUUAGAACCACGAGAUAUUGUAUCAUUUAAAACCUCGUCUUGGAGCAUCCAAUCUAAACUUCUAUUUGCUAUUAUUCUUUUAUUUGCUGAGAAAUCGAUCUCCAAUUUUUUGGAAAAUGCCUUAACUUCCCCUUUAUUCCUGUCCAAGUUUAAUGGAAGAUUUUAAUUUUUCAAAAAUUGCUAAAUUCAUCUAGUGAAGUAGAUUACGAUCUUUUCUUCAAACUCUAGAGCAUCCCACCGUUCCAUUCACAAAUCGCACAUACUCCAUGGAACAUAAGAAGUUGAUACAUGUAUCUGAUAACACUAGAUACUUGCAAGAAGACUGAUCAAUGGAUGAAAAUGGAUAUGAUGACAACUUUCUAUACCAUAGCGAUGAGAUUAACGGCAACACCCAUUGUUAAAAAUUAGGACUCGGAAUUCAGAAUGCACGAGUUGAUAUACACUAUAUUAUACAUGAAAAACAAGAACGACCACAACCAAAAAUGUGAAUUAAAGCAUUAGAAUAGUCGAAAAAUAGAUACUGUAACAAUAAAAAAUUUAAUCACUUACCACUUUCAUACAGUGAAGUACUGGUAUUUGGGUCAAUAAGAAAAGGAAACCUGCAUUUACAAGUUUUAAUUAAGAAUAAAUGUCUAAAAAAAUUAAAGCAUAUCAUUACUUCUUAUGCCAUUUGAUUGGCUUAAAACCCUCCACUACUGAAGGGGCUCACAGAAAGCUGCUUCAAGAAGAGUUGAUAACAAAAAGUAUAUUUUGUUGGUUAAGAUCGGUUGAAGUGGAAGAAUAGGAAGAUUUUUUCUUAUUCAAAUGUGUACAAUUGCAAAAGCACUCGCAAAGACCAAAACAAAAACAAAGAAAGGCUACAAGCGAUUGCAUUGCUGAUUGCAUUUAUAAAUUCUUCUGCCAUUCUAAUGGGAUGUUCUAAAUUACCUGCCUAUCAAAAUGAUGCACAUUAGUAGCUGCCUCGUGUUCUUCUGAACAUUUGGAUGAAGCAAAUCACUGAACUUGGUUUUCUCUUUGAUCAUAUGAAUAAUCUUGAAUCAAGCAUCCAAAAGCAUUUCUUGGCCCACAUUAAGGUUUAUUUCCAAUUAAAAUUGUGUGACCAUCUACGAUCCUAUCAUCCUAUGAUUCAUUACUACUGCCCCCUUCUCUCUAAGGAUCAGUCAUUUUCUUCCCCUCUGGCUGAUGCUACUGACAAGGUCAACACAACAGAGAGAUCUUUGGAGGAUUCUAAGAGACAAAAGCGGCUGAAGACCAAUGAUCCGACCUUUCAGUUUUUUCUACUGAAGAAUCAAAUCAAAAUUUAUCUUGAGGAAUUUGGAGGUUUGAUAGCUCUAAUGCAAUUUCAAAUCCAAGUUCUCCUUUUACAACCAGAAAAAACUUCUUCUAGAGUACCUCAUCUAAAAAAGUCUUAAUCUACAAUAUCGCAGGUUUGGCAAUUUUUUAAAAUAAUAAUUAUAAAUAAAUAAACUAGUAUUUAUUAAGAGGAACAAGUCUAUUAUUAAUAAUUAAAUAAAGAGAGACGAAAACUCAAAAUACAAGAGGGUUAUACAAAGAGCAAAAGAGAGAGAAAGGCAGAUCAGCAGCAAAAUGAUUCGCAUAAAAAAAUCUUAUAAUUCAGGAAUAUGAUUCUCUGUAAAAGAAGCUAACAAAAUUAAUUACAGAAAAAAUCACGUCAUAUUUACUCCAAACUACUUUACUAGCCAAUCUCAAUUUUAUGUAGAUAAAGUUAAAUAUAUUUUAUAAUCUCAAUCUAAAAAGAUUUUUUCUUAUCCAAGAUUCCCAUAAGAUGGACAUCAGUAUUACCACAUUUAUUUUGCGGUGACACAAGAUGCCCAGAAAUCUAAAAAGUUUUGGAUGACCCUCCUGUAACAUGGGUUUUCGAGAUUCCCAUAUAUAUCACUUUUCUUGGUUAUUUCAUAAUUGUUUUUUAGUUUUAUUUUCUUUUUAGAUAUAUAUUCAAAUUUGAAUUUAACUAAUAUUUAUUUCUAUAAAAAGCCAAAUUAAUAUAGAUUAAUUUGUUGAGGAAAAUAACACAUUAAAAUAAUAUAAACUAAAUUAAUUUAAAAAGACAUUCAAAUUAUUAAAAUAAAAUUAUGCAAUAUAAAUGCAAAAAAUAUUAAAUUAAUGUAUAGAUAAAUGAAUAAUUGUCACUUGUAAGGCCACUCUUGAAAAAUUAUAAAAAAUUCAAGGCAUUUUCAAAAAUUAGAGGUGAGCAUGAUAGAUCAAAAAAUCGAGUCCGACCAAAACCAACCAAACUGAAGGUAGUCGGUAAAAAAUAAGAAGGGGUAUGAUCAGUGUGGGUUUGGAUCCGAUAACAUUGCAAAAAAUUUCAAAGGCUUAAAUUAACCAAACGACCGACCCUUUCAACGGCCAGUUUGCAUUCUUUCAUGGUCAGAGUCGAUUUGAAUAUUUACUAAAUUGACAAUAGUCGGUUCGAUGGUGGUUUGGUCAGAAAACUAACUCUAACCGACCGAUGAACACCCCUACCAAAAGCAAAUCCAAGGAUAACUAAAUAUAUAUAUUCCUACAAAACAAAUAUGGUUAUCUAAGGCUGUCAUGCAUCAAUAACUUUAAGUAUUUGGAGAAGAGAAAAGGGUGAAGGAGAGAGAGAGUUGUCUCGGUUUAUGUUGUAUCUCUUUGAAGAUUCUAGUUAUAUAGAUUCUAAAACAAAAACAAAAAAAAAACAAACAGCCUAAGUGUCAUAACCAACAACAUAUGAACUAGUCAAAUAGGGCAAUUAUUUCACCAUGCAAUGCUCAGAAUUAAAGAACUAACAGCUUUGCUUAACCACCAAUCAGAUGGCUACUGUAAUUUUCAAAGGGAUUAAGGCUUACAAGUUAUCCUUUGACCAUUUAACUAAUUCAAGGUAGUUUCUUUGAUACUGGUCAUUAGUAGGUCAGAAAAGAAAUAGACAAAUGAUUAAGUUUUAAAUUAAUCAUUUUAAUAUACCUUUUACCAGAACACAUUAACUAAUUAUGGCACCUUAAAAUGAAGUUGAAUAAACUGAAAUAUGGACUAAAUAGAAAGAAUCACGUACUGCUCUUUGCCACCAUAUUUCUUAACUAUGUCCCGGUGUCUAAUGGAACCCUUAGGACAAGGAUAAACCUGCAUAAUACGCUUGGUAAGUUUUGAGCAGCUAAUACAUUGAGCUAAUAGUUUGCUGCAAGGCAUUAACUGUAGACUUAAUAUUCGAAGCAAUUGAAGUCCAUUAAGUCUAAAUGUUUCUUUAACUUGACCAAAUUAUGAGUAAAAUAACAAAUAUCAAUUUAGAAAGAUGUGGUGUCAACUGUCAUCUAUAACAAUUGACAUGUCAGUUAGCACCUCACUCCCACCAAUUUAGUUUUGAGUUCAGAUUUCUAUUGACGAGAGACUUAGGAUUUCAAAUUGUAAUUCAGUGAGAAGGAAUAGACCUCAGGACCCCACAAAGAAUCAGAGGAACAAGCUUGAACCAUCAAUAAAUAAGUCCAUAGAAAUUACAGCUAAUGAUUCCAAGUCUAACAAGGAAGUACAGGCAAACAUAUCUUCACUAGCACUGAAUCAUGCUGCUUUCACAUUGAAAGAGAAAAAAGAGGAGAGAGAAAAGGAGGAAAGCCUGCUACAAGACAGUUAAGAUGGAAUUAUUUCCAUCAACUUUCUCUAGUGGGGUUUUCCCCGUGGCUUAGUUUUUUUUCUAUAUCUUUUUUUUUCAAUUUUCCCAAUGAAAGCAGUUGUUUCUAUCCAAAAAAAAAAUGACAGUUAAGAUGGAGUAUCUUGAAAAAAAAUUUGUUCCUGCUAAUGGAGAAAACCAACUAAAAUGCAACUUUAAAAAAAACUUCAUGAAUAUUUAUUCAGUCUAAUAAAAUGAUAGAACAUUUUAAAGCUGAUAGCAGAAAAGAUAACUAGACUGAAUUAUAUCAGAUAGUCAUGCAGCAAAUACAACAUCCAUGACAUGAAUUAAGGAACUUCUUGUAGAAGUAAAAGCAAUCAAAACAAGGGUUGUAACAAGUGAUGAUAGAGACUUGAUACAGAAAUACUUGAAUCAUUAAGCCACAGGAAGCAACCAAAACCAACUUUUAUGCAUCUUUUCUAUCCACUUAAGUGAAAAAAAGUGUGAUAUCAAAUCAUAUUCAAAGAAAACGAUCUAAAAAUCAAAGCAAAACUAAAUCAAUGUGCACGAAAUAAAUCUUUUUUGAGGUAUCAGGAUAAUUUUAAAACAGUCAAAUGGACUAGAGAUGGCUAUAAAGAUAACAGCUCAAAUUUAUAUUAAAUUUAGACAAGGGAUGUCCAUGCAACAAAAAUUAGGUCAGCCAAAUUCAUUUCAUACCUCCACUGAAAGAUCCAGUUCAGUCAAGGCUUCUCGAACCCUCCUGCAAAAAGGGCAUGCCUCUGCUCACAAGUAAUAUUUUAAAUGAGAAAACUUGGUAAAUACUGCUAAUAAAUAGCUAAGAUUGACGUCUCCAGAAAAAAACUUGGAGUAGCUUUUAACACAACUGCUGCUGUUAGUUUCUAGAAUUCCACGAUAGAAUAUUUCAAAACUGCAUUCCUUAUUAUAAUUUACAACCAAUUCAAUAAGCCACUUUGAGUUUGGAUAUCUUCCUUGUAAAUUCCAUAAAAACAUCCCUCCUUCAUGAGUAACAUAUAUUUUAUUUCAGUAUAACCUCUGCUUUCUAUCAACUUUGCAUUCGAUAAAAAUUUAAACCCCAAAAUAUAAGAAGAAAAUGCUAUUUUGGCUUCCAAGAUAAGAUAACUACAAAGUUAGAAACAGACACUACCAAAUUCAUAGAGUUGCAAAGGCAACAGAGAUUCCAAAUCAAUAUUCCUAUUGCUGUGAGAAUUAUCUGACAAUGUUCUAGAGCCCCAUGGAAGCCUUGCCAAUGAAGAUAAGGAAGAUGUGGCUACCUGCUCUUUAGCAACAAGAUGAGAGAUGUCAUAGAACGAUAGUAGAUUACUAGCAAGCUAGACGAAGUUGCCUGAUUGAGCAAUGAAGGUAAACACUUGUAGCAACAAAUAAAAAGGUGGAGAAAAUAUGAGCAUUUUCAUGACCGGAUAAAUAUUGUUCUACCCAGAAUAUGUUAUUAGUUACUAGGUUAAAGUUUUGAUGAUGCUAGAACAUAAUGGUGCUUUUAGUUACUAGGUUCAAGCGUUUGGGAAAGCUUGAGAUUCCAAUUACAACAUAAUGAACAUUUUGCUGCAGAACGCUACAUCUUGUUAUUCAUAUGUGGAAAUAUCAGUCUAUCAUCUCGAUGCAGUUAUGAAAUAGACAGUUUGCAAAGAAGUUGUAGGUCUACUAUUUAAACUGUCCGUUCUAUUUUUUUGCAUUGAUAUAAUAUAUAAUCUUAGCAACGUAACAAGAACCGUACCAGCCUAAAAUAUGUUCCGGAAAUAAGUUACGUGUUGUAGAACUAACUAUAAAAAACAGGAUAUCAACAAUGACUGUAAAAAUACCGACGAAACACAAAAGUAAAAAACGCAUUGAGCGAAGCAAACAAUCCAGAGAGCUAGUUCUGAAUGAAAUGAAGAAGGUUAAAUUAUUGCCUCCAAAGUAAAAUUCCUCUCUCUCGAAGGAUCUCCUCCCUACAAUUUAAAAAAAAUGAAAAUGAAGAUUAUGAACGUUAAGAGGUAAAGUUCAAAGGAAAUGAAAGAAGGAUUUUAGACCUUGUUCUCUGGACUGUAACUAUAAGCAAUCGAAUGAAGAGUACACAGUUAUUAGACUGUUUCGGUGGAUAUCAAUAUCAAAUAAUCAAGACAACUUCAUCAGAUACGCUAACUGAAAACCAUAUAAACGUGCAAAUUUAUUAUUAUUAUUAUUAUUAUUAUUAUAUACAAUUUACUCACAGCGAAAAGCUUGAGCAAGGGGCAGAGAUAAGAUAGAAAACUUGUAGAAAGCGUGCUUCCAUUACUCGGAACUUCAUUACUUUCAGCCGAAAUCCGAGUUCGAGAUUCUUCAGUUUCAGCGCAUGAGCGAACAGAGUCGGCGUGAAACCUGCGCCGGCAUGAAGAGAUUCUAAAUUUCUUUGCAGAAAUCGGGAAGAGAUUCCGAUUGAAAAGGACGGAAGUGAUUGCUUGGUUGAAGCUCUGUUCAGAAUGAAGGAUCGAAGAGCAGUGCAGAGAGGAAUAAUAUGGCGUAGCGAAAUAGAACGAUGUCAUUCUAAUGGGUUAGCCUUCAAACUCAAACCUCACCUGCUUCGCUUCAAACCUCUCUUUUUCUAUUUUUUUUUUCCGCCAAUUACUUUUGGAAGUUAAAAGGGCUUUUUGGAGAAAAGUGAUUCAUGGGACGGUUGUGUUGUAAUAGUAAGCUGUCGUCAAUGUCAUUAUAAUAGUAUGAAUUUUUUUUUUUGUUAGGAUAAUAUGUAUUUAGUAUGAAAUUUAUUUUUUUACUCUCUUUUCUAUUUUGUGUUCUAAAUUUAAUAUAUAAAUUUCGUAUAUUUAAUUUACUCACUUGACAUGUUUUAGUAAAAUAACUUUCAGAAAUUUCUUUAAAUCUGACCUUUUCUACGUAAUUAUUAUUAACAAAUUAUUAAUUUUUCUUUUAAAUUAAUAUUCUAACUUCAAUACACAAAUUUCAUAUAUUUAAUUUAUCAAAUCAUUAUAGUUUUUAAAAUAAUUUAUCUUAAUUUUUUUAAAUUCAACGUGAAAUUUUUAAUUAUUUAAAAUACGACGAGAAAUUUUUAAUUUUUUUAAAUAAUCAUUGAGGUUUAAUAAAUUACUGUUUUGGUGUUAAACAUAAAAUAUUAUCCAUUUUUUCUUACCUACCUUUUUUUUUCUCGUCUUUUUAAAGAAGUUCCAUGCAACAAAAAUGAUAAAAAAAUAUAUAUAAUAAAUUAAUUAAAUAUGUAAAAGUAAGGAAGAAGGAAGAGAAAAAGUACAUGAUUUAGUAAAAGAAAUUAGAUUCAAAAUUUAAUUAAAAUAAAUCUCAAAUCAAAAGGUAACCAUUAAAUUGAACUUUUUAAAGAAAACUUAUAUACAUUUAAAGUUUAAGUACUUUUUUUAAUAUUUGUUAUACAUGUUUGUAGGUUAUUCAACUAUUGAAAAGUUAUUAAAUUUAAUAUUAAAGUUUGAUUUUGUUUUGGUUUUUAUAAAUUUAAUAAAAUUCACUUUUUUUAUAAAUUUAAUAAAAUUCGUUUUUUUAUAAAUUUAAUAAAAUUUGUUUUUUUAUAAAUUCAUUUAACUUAAAUUUAUAAAAAAUGGUUUAGAUAUGGAUAGGUUAGUUUUAAAAUAAAAUAUUUGAAAAGUAAAAAAGGAAUAAAAUACAUAAAAUUAAAAAAUUAAAAAAGGUUAAAUACGAGUACUAAACACAUGAAUUAAUCACAAUUAAUAUUUAACUAAAAUUAAUUUCGUAAAUAAAAUAAAUUUAAAAAAUAUUAUUUUUUAAGAUUAUUAAAUUAAUUAAAAACAAAUAACAUUCUAAAAAUAAAAGAGUAAAAUUAAAAAAACAAUUAAAUAAUAAAACUAUAGUAGAGUUGAAGAGGUAGAGUUAUGGAUAGUUGAAGAGAGAUUGAGAAGUAGGAGAGAGAGGGAAGAUGAGUUAUGACGAGCCUAAAACAAGGAUUAUGAUAAUCUUUAUCCCAAACAAUGAAUGAAAAAUUCAACUGAUCAAGGAAAAGAGCUAAAGCUAAGCAAUUUCCCUCCCAAACCAAAAACAAUUGAAAAGAAAUUAGAAUAUAUACAAACAAAAUCCGAAAAGCAAAAGGUUUAAGAAAAAAUCUUGUACGUCUUGAAUGAGAGAAUAAUCUGUCUAAGUCCACCAAUGGGUGUUAGCAUUGCUAUCAAUACUCCAAUGAUAGUUGCCACCUGGAAAUUAGUUAUAAAUUUUAAAAUAAUGAACUAAAAUAUUUACAAUUAUAUAGCAAAUUACUACGAUUGAAAUCCAAUUCCUAUCCAACCACACUAGCUAGCUAACUUACCCAAGAUGCAAUCCAAUGGAAGCUCCAUGGUUUGGGGCGUUUAACCAACAACCAGAUGAUGCAAGGUACCUUUAUUCAAAUCAAUUAUUAGUUAAUUUUCAAUCUUGUUUCUUUUUUUUUUUUUUUCCCUUAAGAAAGUGAUUAAAAGCUUACGAAAUAUGAGGUGGCAGAAAACACUAAUCCGCCGAAGAAUCCAAGUAAUCCUCCAAAGAAUGGAAUGCACAUCCCCACAAGUCCUACUAAUGCUGUGUGUGCAAUGCCAAUAUUUCAAUCAGCUUCUUAUUUAAGUUUUUUUCUAAUAGAAAAUAAUUAACAAUUACAAUUAUUAGUACUUACCAACAAAACUGCUUCGAGCAACUAGUCGCAGCGUUCGGCUUGGCUUGAAUUCAUACUUUUGUACUAGAGCUGAUUCUACGGUAUCGAACACCGGCAUUGCAAACACCUAACGUAAUACAAUAGGGCAUCAAAUAUAUUGAGAAGUGUGAAUAAAAUAUAUAGUUACAGCCAAAUUAAAGACGAGCACCCAUUUUUUUUAUGUUUUGACCUGAUAGCUUCCAAUGACGUGGAGAAAAACCAUGAAGUUGGCAGCAGCAAUGAGCCAAUUAGGCUUCUCAAGGGAAAUAAGAACGUCAUCCUCAACAGCGAUCCCAAAGGCCCAAUAUCCCGAAACAGAAACGGAGAUGUAGCAGAUGGCAACAAUGAUGUAAGCCACAAAAACCCCUCGCCACAUUGGGAUCUUGGACGGCUUCUCUUCGGUGGAGGGAAUAGUGGCUUGUAUUUCCAGAACCACGCUGUGUCCCGCGAAGGCAAAUGCAAUCGUCCCAAUUCCGUUCAAUGCGUCGAAGGUCCUGUCUAUGGCCGUCUGGGACCUAACCCCGUAGGUGACAUGGUGGAUGCGGUGGUCUGCUGUUCCUUUGAUGAAGGAUGUGACGCAAGCCACCAUGGAGUAGGAGAAGGACAUGAUUGCAGCAAGAAGAGAAACACCUUUUAGAGAAUUGAAAUUUGGGCUUUGGGACAUUACUAGUUGAAACACCGUGAAGAAGAGGAUGAAGUAAGUCUGUCGGACUCCACCGAACACUUUUGGAAACAUAAGUUGGAAUGACUUCUUCAAUGACUUGCCACCGGUCACCGUGUACACAAUGGUGGAAGCCACUUGAACUGUGAGUUGAAGGGGCAUUAUGAUCCAGUAACCCAACUUCGGCCCGAACGCGUACAUCCCUAGCUCAUGGUAUCGGUCAAACCGCCUCCCCGGCGCUGCCUCGUGCAACUCCACCAGUUGCCACAACGAGUAGAACGUGAGUAUCCACGACAGCACAAUGGCUGUCACUCCAGGGGCCCUAUGUAUUUGUAAUUAUAGUUACACAUGUAAGUACGCUAAAUUAAAUAACACUUCAAGCUUCAAUUAACUUAAUUAAUAUUUCCUCCUCUUGAGUAUAUUCAUUUUUAAAAAAAAACAUUUCAAAAUUAUUUAAGUACAAAGUGUCUUCAAAAUUUAAAACAAAAAUUAAGACUUUGAGUAUUUUAAAAAAUUCAAAAUUAAUAUUAUAAUUUUGAUAAAAGAUAAUGGACUAAUUUAAACAAAUGAACAAAUUGACAAAGUUGAGAGUAUUAUAAACAAACCAUCCAAGCUGCGAGAGGGCAAAGGGCAGGCCGAGAACGCCAGCGCCGACCAUGGCUGUGACGUUGUGAAAAGCGGAGUACCACCAUUUGGCUUUCCUGGAGGCAGUGAUGGGUAGCCAGUUGCUGAUCUGGUCUUGGGGCUUGUCUUCUUCCUGCGGCGUAGGCGUAGUCAUUGUUGUGGUCGAGCCAGUGGGCUCAACAUUUUCAACACGGACAAUGUUGUUAUUAUCUUGUUCCAUUUUGAAGCUGAAUCAGAAUGAGGUUUAUAUGUUAAUUAAGGAUGGUGUGUGGUUGGUUGAAUUGUUAUGGAAGAGUGAGGCGUGGGAUGUAUUUAUAUAUAUGAUGAUCAGUACGUAGUUACGUUAAUUAGUGUGUAGUUGGGGCGAGACAGAAGGAGUGAAAGUGGAUAAAGAACAUUGAUUUGGAGAUCCUAGAAUCAAGUAAUUGAGUUUUUGAACCAUUCCUCAUUUUUCACAACUUUAAUUAAUUAUCACAUGUUUAAGAUCCUAAUACGAAGCCUUUGGGAACUCUAGAUAAGGAUAAUUCUCUCUUUCCUUUUGUUAGUCCUUCAAAGUUUUAUUCACACCUUGUAUUUCUUUUCCUCAUCUCUCUCACGUUUUUCUUCUCUUUUCUUUCUAUUUCUUUUCUUUCUAUUUCUUUUCCUCGUCUCUCUCACGUUUUUCUUUUCUUUUCUCUUUUUUUUUACCUCAGUUAAUAAUUUAAUUACUUCUUUUUCAUCACCAUCCUCUCUUUUCCUAGGCUGGCAAAAAACAAUCAUUUGUUCUCUCCUAAUGUUUCUCUUUUUUCUUUCAACCCUAAUUUGUAUAUAUUUAUUACAUAAUUAUGAUAUAAGAUGUGUCAUGCAUAAAUGAGGGCCAACCCAAGGCAAGCCAAAUUCGAUAUUUUCGUUUGCUAUUAAAACAAAAUUUUACUUCUGCAUAUUGGUAAUCUUCCAUUAUUGUUUCUAUAGAUAUAUAUUAUUUACUUUGAGUUCUAACUUUGACAGUUGUUUUCAUUUCUAUGAUCGAAUGGUUAGGCCUAAGACAAUAAUUGGAAAUUUACGUAGAAAAUGAAUCCUUCUAGUUUCGUACUGAAGACCAAAAAUUAAAUAACCUUUUCAUUUUCCUUACAUAGUGUUUUGAUCAGUCGCCAUUAAGUCACUUAAUUUCUUUAAUUUUAUCUUUACCAAACUAUUUGUUAACUAACUAAUUACUAAAAAAAAUUGUUUGUUAAUUUAGGUUGUGAAAAAUGUCGUUUUGUGAUAUUUGGCAUGCUGCAAAGUGUGUGUUAAGUUUGGUUAUUUUCCUAUGAUCUUCUGUUUUUCACAAUUUAUGUUAGCCUAUAUGUUUAUUAGUGAUAAAGCAGGUGUUUAGGUUAAAUAUGUGACCAUUUCUUGAGCAUUAUUUAUUUAUUUGGAGAAACCGUUUCUUAUUGGUAAUACUUUAUGUUAGAAGACUUAAGCGAAAACUUGCUACAUCAUGAAGAAUACUCAAAUUAAGUCUUAUAGUUGGGGAGGGAAGGAUUAAGAAUUAUUUUAGAGAAAUUUUGUUGGUCAUGUUGUAGAUAUUGUUAUGUCAAUUAAGGUUGCAAACACGAACUUGACGACACCCUCUUCUUACUAGAAUUGGAGACGGCUGAGGAAAAGAAUUAGAUCCACAAAUCUCCUUUUUUUUUCUUACUAUCUUUCUGCUUAGUAGUAUUAGUAUCCACAAAUCUCCUUUUUCUUACUACCUUUCUACUUAGUAGUAUUAGUAGCAAGACAAGCUAGGGAAGCAACCAGAGGCAAAGUUUCGCACAAGAUAAAUUACUGGCUGAAGUGGCUAGUCAACGGGGCAGGGGUUUAGUGUGUUUUGAUAAAGUACUAAAACAUAGAACUAAGGAGCUCGAUGUUGAUAAAGUUUGUACAUUGAGACACAAUGAAAACACUAAUCUCGAAAAAAUAUAAUAUUAAAAUAAAUAAGAAUAUAUGAAGAUAAAAAAAAUUCUUCCAAACUCACCUACCAUUUCCAAGAUUUAUGAAUUUUUCACUCAUAUGUGUAUUCUUUAAAAAACCCACCAAACGUCACUAUUUAUGGACAAUUUAUGGAUUACAUGAAUACUUAUAGUGUGUCAUCUUAAGACACUUGUACAACAUUUGGGGUAAUAUGUAUAUAACUCAUGGUCCAUAAACACCAAUCAUGAGUAUAGCGAGCUUCUAUCACUCUGUGUAUUACAAUAUUAUUCAUUCCUACGGUUUAGACACCUUUUCUUUCACAAUAACGAAGAUAGUAUGAUAAAAUUAUCAAAAUUAUUAGAUUUUUUUUACAAACAAUUAUAUUAUAGAAACAAAAAAAAUUGUUAUCAAAUUGAACCGUAGACUAAUAUUAAUUUUUCUAUGCACCAUACAUACGGUCUAUUAGGUACCCAUCAGAAGAUUUUUUUAGCUACGUUUCAAACAAAAACACAUAUCCUAUGGAAAAAAUUAUCACACCUUUUAAGUUAUUUAUGUUUAAAAUUGCAACCCUUAAUUAGCUUGCUUAAGGUUGACUAAGUUGAAUGUAAUGAAAUAUUGGAAAUUGUUUGUGAUUUUAAUUUUUGAAAAGAAAUAUAUUAUUAAAAUCGAAACAUGGUCAAUUUCAUUUUUUUUGUUCUGUAGCAAUUAUAUUUGUAGCACGUGCAUUCAAUAUAUUUGACCAAUUAUUUACAUAUUAUAUAAAUAUCAGUUGUUUGGUGACUCGGUCUAUCAACCGACUUAGCGCACCACAUUUUGUGUAUGUUCACAACUUGCACUUGCUCACAUCAAUCCUAACAAAUUCGCAUUUCUAUCACAUUAAUUGUAUUCAUAUGUUAGUCGACGUAUCACAUUCAUUUUCUUAGUUCUAACAAUAUUCAUCCUGAGACAGAUUAUUGGAUGGGUGGCCGUAUUCAUUCAACUUCAUCCAUACUUGUCAACUAUGCUUAAUCAAGAUUUCAUAUAAUAAUCUUGAAAAAAAAAAUUCAAUAUUGAACUUUUGUUAUUCAAAAUCAAGUGAACAACUUAUUUUAUUAAUAGAAAAGUACGACUCUAGAGAAUAAAAUUCUAGUCUCUAACUUAACACUAGAAUUUUAUUAUAAAAACUUACUGUAAUGUUAAGUUACAUCAAACGAAAGAGUUUAGAGGUUAACACUACAUUAAAUCAUAGUGACUGUAAAUAAAAACUUACACUAAACGAAAAUUAUAAGUCACAUACUUUCUUAAAUUGUAAAUGCUUUUGUUUAAUUUUUAAAUCACAUGCUUCCUUAAAUUAUAAAUUUAUAAUUGUCAUCACGAGAAAGUCAAAUACAAAAAUUUUUCAAUCAUAUGAGAAUUCUUGGUUCAGUUCUCCACCUUAACAACAUAAAAAAUGAUUGAUCAAAUUCUAUUGAGUCUGACUCAUAGUGAUCAUUUAUCAAAGAAUAACUUUGGUUAUCAAAUGAUUGAACAACCAGGAGUAAUUUACUUACGAUACUUAGUUGACAUUAAGAAAAAGUAUCUAAUGAAUUAUGAGUUCAGUAUAUCAUGUUUACUAGAAAGACAAAGAUUCCUUGCUCAUUAUCAGACAAUCACUCAUUCACAAACCUCGUGUAGGGUUAAUAGUUUUCAUUUUCCAUCUCAUGGAAAACCCUUUUCGCGCUGCUUAGCCCUCUCUCUGGGUAUUUUAGUGAUAGGUUCUAUAGGAACUGAACGAUCCUAUUUGGUCAAAUACCUAGCGACAAACUCCUAUCUUCCUUUCAUUACAGUAUUUUUGAACAAGUUCCUUUCUCUUCCAUUCUUGCUUAGUUUAUAUAAAUUGUUAAAAUUAGUUUUGACAAUUUUGAUAAUUCACACACACAUCUACCUAUCCACCACAUCUAUACACAUAUCUACCUUUCAGCUAUCACCAAUAGAAAAGUUAUAAAAGUAUAUCAAUGUUAUUAUUAUUUAUUUAUUUAUUUAUUUAUUGCUAUUUCUCUAAAUAGUUUAAGCAUUUUUUUUUAUCCAUGAAAAUUUGAUUUAUAUAUAAUGUAGGUGAUAAAGAGGGUGAUUAUACAAAUAGACAUGUUUAUAGUGAGAGAAAGUGUUUUAUUUCAUUCCUAUAUGUAUAUUUUAUAGGGAAGAAAAUGAUGACCGUAAAUUCCCACUUGAAUGUCAACCUGCCUCGUAGACGUGACAUGAUUGGACGGAAAGGAUGAGGUGGAGCUUGAAAUUAAAUGGUCCAACACGUUUAUUGUUGGCGGAGCGGAGACGAAUGGAAA
rnacentral:lncRNA from 1 species